AUGGAUAUGAAUAAUUAAAUUUUGCGUGUUUAAUAAGUGGGUUGUGUUCGAAUCCGUUUAAUCCCGUCAUGACACGAAUCAAGAACAUGAUUAUUAGCUUAAUUUGUAUAAAGUUUUAGGAAAAAAAGGGUGUCCGUUAUAAAAACGGGAGAGAGAGAUGAACCGGGUCGACCCGUCAUCAUCGCCAGAAACCGGACGGAGCGUCGCGUUUGAAGCACGAAAAUUGCGGCUAAAACCCAUCACCAUCACCUUCGAUCUCGCCGGAAUUAGGCCUCGCCACCGCCUGGAUCUUUCUCCUCAGCUCACCCUCAUCAUUUUCAGACGGGUCCCGUCACCUGAAACGGUCGUUUAGCCGCCGGUCGGCCGCCGGAGGUUCACGUUUUUUUAAGCUCGAUUCGUCGUCGCUUCCGCGCGUGAAUUGUCACCGCUGGCGCCAUCGGCCUCAACGUGGUCCGCACUAUCAGAUCUGAGUUUCCCGACCACCAUUGACUGAACUACGGGCAUUUCGGUAAUUUCACAUAUUGGUGGAUAAUUUAGUAAUUUCAGACUAAGGGCAGUUAGUUAAUCUAGAUUUUGGGGUAAUUUGGUAAUUUAAGUCUUUUAAGGCAUUUUGAUAAUUUCAUACUCCGAGGGUAAUUUCAUAAAUUCAUAUCUUAGUAGACAAUUUGGUAAUUAGAUUGAGGGCAGUUUAGCAAUUCGCCACUUCAGGGUAAUUUGAUAAUUUAUGUUUCAAGGGUGUUUUGUAAUUUAAGAGAUAGGAGUGUUUUAGUAAUUUUAGGGAAUUAGAAGAUGUGUAAUAGGAAUAAAUAAUCAUUUCGAGUUUUAUUGCAUAGGAUUAUUGUAUUUCACAUAUACGUGUGGUAAUUAUGUCGUUUCCUUCAAUUAAAGAGACUCUCAAACGAGAAUCAACUCACACACAUGAACAAAAAAUCGAGUUUUGAAUAUUGUAACUGUGAGUGAAAUAUACAAAAUAUAUUUUCUUUGUAGUUUAUUAUGAUUUUAAAGUAUGGUAAAGUAUGUUUAUGAAAUAAGUUUUUUAAUACCUUUAUUUAAUGAUUUUUCUAGAAUAGAUUUUAUCUACAUAUUGAAUACUUAUUAUUAAAAAUGUUUAUAAUUAUUGAUUUUAUUAUCGAUUUUAAGUAAUUACACAACAAUAUCUUUAAAGAAAAGAAAAAUAAAUUUAAAAUAUGUUAAAUGGAAACGAAAUGAGAUUUAAAGUAUGAUUAUAUACUUAUAUAUGUGUGUAUAAAGGUUGUUUGUAAAAUUAUUAGACAGUAUCAUUUUCCUCCAGAUACAGAAGAUACAGUUGAGAUGAGAGGUCUUUAGAACUUGUCUAAACACAUAUGGAGGUUUUGGGCCGUUUGUUUGGGCGCUUUUACCUUUUGAAGGCAUAUGUAUGCAGUAUGAUGAUUACAAAGAUACAGAUGAGAUAUAAGUCUUUGGGCCGGUGCACAAAGGUUUUAGGCCUUGUACUUGAGCGUAUUUUCCCCAUAGGAGAAUUACAGGUACAGCAGUCGAUCCAAUAACAAUAAUUAUUUUAAAAUUAUGGCCAGGUGAUGGUGCCAGGAGUCGUAAAUGUUUUAUUGGGAUAUUUCAGAUUGUAUAAUUUUGUUAUAAUUUGUGACCAAGGAUAACCUACUGAACUUUGACAUUAGAAUGUUUGGAUGAUAUUUGGUACUUUGAUCAAGAAAGUUGGUUGUAACUAUUGGUUGAAUAUUGAAUUCUUUUGGAGUGUUUAUUUUUUAUAAAUUUACAGGUUGGGAAUAUUACACUUAAGAGGGAAGAUUCAGCUGAAUUUUCAGUAGAAUCUUUGGAUAUUAGAUUUAUUAUCAAACGGUUAGAUGAGAUUAGAUAGACCGGUUUGUGGCAAGUUGUGAAUCGUCAUGAUUCAUCACUGACCAGGCAUGCACUAAAAUAGUUAAAACAAUACUCUGUUCCCGUUCAAAUUAACCUUGGCGUCUUGCCAUUAUUAUCAAAUGUAUAUUAAUUGAUCAAAUAAAAUUUGAACACCACUGAACUGAUCGAUCCAUCAUGCAUUCUUCAGUACGACAAAUCAAAAUCAUUAGCACCUCCAUGAUUAGUGCCCCAACUGUAACAAUAAAAAAAAAAAAAAAAAGUUUGGCAAAAUAAUGGGAAAUCCAUGAUGCAUUAGUGAGAGUUAGUUUAUUUUAACUAUUUAAAAAAAAUGAUAAAUUGUAUGCUUAAAUUAUAAAUAUUAUUUGCACUGCUCCAUUGUACAACUAAUUUAACUCUUGAUAGCUUUUAUUAGUAAACGAUGCGAUGGAAUUGUGAUACAAUUAAAAAUAUAUUAUACAAUAAUAAUAAAUUAAACAAAAUAAAAAGGGGUCAUUAAACCCAUAUCAGAUUCUCUCUGGUUAACUGUGAUUCUGUAUAGAACUUAACGACAUGCACACGUGCCCCGGCGCGUGAUGAAUGGCCAGUUUCAGUUUGCAUGGAAGAUGGCAUAUCAUUUUCAAGAUUUAUAAAAUGAUCAAUACCUUCAACAACUAUUUACACUUGAGAAACAGCCUCUAUGAUGUUAAUUUCACGUGAAUAAAUGCACUAGGAAAGUUUUCAGGAUAAUAGAGGAGUCACAAGGGUUCCAUUUAAAACCGAGACUCCUUAGACUCUUGUCGCUUUAUUGACAGAACUAUCCUAGACAUGCAUAAAUACACACUACUUACAAUAGAUUAUCUCCCAAGUACAAAUGGUCAUCUCCACUAUAUGCGUGAACAAUACCGUAUAUGUCAAUAGUACCGCAUACGUGAAUAUUGUCCUAUCCGUGAACAAUGUUGUAUACCCUAAGCACGAACCUCCUGCUCUGAUACCAAUUGUUGCGGAAGCGUGUGGUUGAGGAAUUACUAAUAUUCUGAUAACUGAGACUUCUGGAGAAAUAUAAAUGAGGUGAUAAACAAAUGCAAAGAAAAUAUGACAUAUAAUUUACGUGUUUCAACUUAAAGCCUACAUCAACGGACAAAGACCAUAAGAUAAUUUUACUAAUAAAUGGGAAUUUACAAAACUAUGAAAAGCUCUCAAAACCCACAACCCCAAUACAGCCAAUUGAAUCCUCACUAGAACACUCAAGUGGAAGCUCUCUUAAAUCUCUCAAAUUACUUCACUUGUAAUUACUCUCAACUCUCUCAAUUGGAUGAUUAACAAAUUAAGAAUGACCUUUCUAUUUAUAGGGAUCAUUGUUCACCUGCCACAAGUUUCAAUUUGGUUUCAAUUUGUCAAAUUGGAAAAAUUUGGCAAUUGGUGCCAACUUUAUCAUGCAAUUGUAGUUAAAGUCUACAUACUAGCUCAAAAAUUACAUGCUUGAAAUUUGCAUGCUAGUUAUCUCAUGCAAUUACUCAAUAAUUGCAUGCUUGAAGCUUGACUUUUCAACAGCCUUCCUCUUAGACUAAGAGUGACGUCACAUAUAUUAACAUAUGCGUGAGAAUCAAACCAAUAAUACCGAUCAAUACCGUUUGAUGGACCAACAAGAUCCACAAUUUGAUAAUCCAGUUCUGUUUUCAUAAUUGGGGAAGACGAUACUCUAAAUAUUUUUUCAGAUAUAUGUAAUGUAUAACCUCCAAACUUUAGUAUCUUUUCUUGGAAAAGAUUCUUCAGUGUGAUAGCCCUACUAGUAUUACUCGUUUCUUCAUUAUUUAUUCUUAGACAUUUCAUAUCAAGAGGAUAGCAUAUUUUAGUUACCUCUUCUAUAAUACUAUGUGUGAAGUACUAGCAUGCAACUCCUAUAAGAUAUAUGAAUUCAACAGUCUUCCAAUUAUGCAUUAUUGGGUGGGUGGUUCUUUUCUUUGACGUCAGUCAUUUGGCUUGCUUGAAAGGUGAUAUUUUGAUUUUGAGGUGAAUGAGUCAUCUUCUAACUUGACCAUGGCAUCACCAACAUCAGUAUGUGUUUAGUGAUUAAUGAGUUGCUAGAUAUAUUUUCUGGAUUUUGAAUAACUACAUCAAAAUUCCAUGUAACAUUCAUUAAGUGCUUAUAAAUGAAUUUAAUGGGUUCAAUUAGUAAAAACACUAUUAUUAUACAAAUUGGGUUUAGUAAGGGUAUAUUGGGUAUUUAGGUGAGUUUAUCGAGUAAAAUUUAAAAUUUCAAAAUAUGAGAGUGGGUUUAUCUCGUAAAUAGGUUUAGUGAGUAGCUUAGUAGGUUCAAAUAGCCGCACCUUUUUUUUUACUUUUUUUUUAUCAAAAAAGUCUAAAGAUGUUCUUUAAAAUAUCCCUAUUUAAUUAAUCUAUUUUCAUUCAUACUAAAUAAAAUUGAUCAAUUAGCAUUAUUAUUCAUCACCAUAACUUAUGAUAAUAGAGUAGCAUAUUAUUAUUAUUAUCAUUUUUUAUUUUCUUCAAAUUAGCAUUAUUUAUCUCUACAAUUUUUAUGAAUUUUUUUUCAUUUAAUACAUCAUAAACUACAAUAAAAUUGAUUAACAUGUUCUGAUUCAGAACAUUAGAACUAUAUUCACUUAUAUAUGAUUUAUGCUAUGAUAAAAAUAUUGUCUUACUUAUGUAAAAGUACUGAUUUUCAAACUUUUUAAAUUGAGAAAAACAACCAAUUGAUACUUAUUAUUAGACAUUCAAGCAAAACAACAAAUAUAUCAUCUAGAUUCAAACAUUUUGCUCUAUUUAGAAUUCAAAGUAAUUCAAAUUUAUUUAAAUCUUAAAAAAAAAAAGAAAAAAAAAAGACUCCAAAAUUACUAGGGAUGCAGAGUAGUGAAUCAGGUUUAUAAAAUUAACUCAUUAGUCUUUUUGGUACUAGCCCUUUUGUUGGUCCACAUUUCAAAACUUACUUCAUGACACCAAAAUACACUCACCAUUACAUGAUUGAAACACGUAAUCUACCUAAAUUCCAUCAGAAAUUUAAUAUUUUCAAAAGCCUAUUGACUUGAACGAAGACUUGUUGAGAAGGACAUGAUUUUAGCUACUUCAGUGCAUAGUAUAAAUCAAGAGGCAAAUGGGCUUCCACUUCAACUUCGGGGUAAACAUUCACACAUAAAUUAGUUGGAUAGACUAUACGGAGGACAAUUGCACAAGCAACAAGAUUUUAUAAAAGGACUAAUGAAUGGUGUUGAAGUUAUGAAUCUUUUUAAGCAAAGCAAUACCAGUUUUUUUUUAUUUCUAUCAGGCUUUUUCAUUAUUUUGUGUGUUCACCACCUUCCCAUUUCAAUUCAGAUGGCAAAGCCUAACUUGAGGGGUGUUUGGAACUUUACAAAACCGGGGUCGUGAGCGGCAAUGAAAUCCUUGCGAUGUACACGAAGUACAUUAACCCAUAAAUCAAGCGGGUGAACUUCACAUCAGAAGAGCAAGCAAAAGUGAUAGUUGCCCCAAGAAGCAACAACGAGAUCGAUGCUUCCAUGUUGAAGGAGUUUCCUGAGUUGCUAUCCAUCAAGGAUUCAAUCAUCAUCUUACCUUGAGUAGUUGGUUCACAUAAAAUAACCAAGAACCCAAUUAUAGAGGGAAAAUUGUGUUCCAAUUUAGACGGAGUCUUCACUAAUUACUUCUUGACCCAAUUGGUUAGGAAUUUAUCGAUCUUGCAAUUCGACCUUUCAAGUUGAAGGUGGCAAAUUUUUUAUUCUAGUUGAAGUAUGGAUAAUGAGAAUACCCAUGGUUAUUCCAACCCCCACUAGAAGGCUGUAAGUACGACUUUUUCGAUCCUUGCUCGAUAUUCCAGUUAAUUUUUUAAAUAUUUAUUUUAAGAUUAAAUAUUAAUCAUGCACAUUAAUUUAUUGUAUAGUAUAUUACAUUUUAUAUCUUUUUAUCUUUUAAUUUAUCCUUUAAAGAAACCAUUAUAUAUAUAUAUAUAUAUAUGUUGGGAAAAUAUGCUCUUUAAAAGCAUAUAUGUUUAUUUAAUUGUAAUAAAUAUUUUUUCUGAUUAAUAAAAAUUAAUGAGGUAUUUUAUUCAAAUAUCUUAAUUGCAUUAAUAUUUUUAUUAAAGUCCAUUUAAUCAUAUUAUAUGUAUUUAUGUGAUCACCAUGUGGAUUCACAUAAGACAUAAAUACAAGUUAUCUUAUGAUUAAAUAAAUUUAGUUCGCAGUUGAUAAAUAAAGUUGGACACUUUAUUUAGGUAUAGACUGUAAUAAAUUCAUUAAAUGAUUUGUCUUAAUCAUGUAUGAAUUUAUUGAUGUAGUACGACUACAUUGAACAGGAUCACAUAUGAGAUUUAAUUAACUUUGUAAUAACUGUCAGACUUAUUAAAUCUCAUAGGCAUUGAUUUACUGUAAUCUUAAUCUUGAGUUAAUUAUGAUUUCAUUAUUGUAAUUGUUAUUCCAUUUGAGUUACCAAUAGGCAUGACACAUACUUGUAGUCUAGAUUACCCGGUAUCUUGGUGGGAGCAUUUAUGAGUAUUGGAGUUAUAGAUUAACAAUAUAAAAUUUGUACAACACAUCUCUUGAUGGGUUUUUGGCACUUGAUCAUAGAAUUCUCUGGCCAGAGUGUGUCAACAUAUUUAGUAUGUUGAAAAUGAUCAUUAGAGAAAACCAGUAAGUAUCAAGGAAUAAGAUGUAAUUAAAUCGAUUGGACAGUUGAGAUAUCGAUUUAAUUAAUGAUGUGAUACAAAGGAUUGUGCAGUAAAGAAAUCAAUGUGGCUUGGGACGAAUUAUUAUUCAAGCAUACAAUUAUGGAGGUCAAUUCCAAUCUUUUAGUGGAAUAGAGAAUUAGGCAAGUUUAAUUACAUGCCUAAUUAUUAUAGCCACUAUUGUAUGUUCCCAAAUGAUCCCCGGGUUAGCUCAUUUAAUUGACUGCACCACUACUGGAUUAAUAUGCAAGAUGACUAGCUAUUUGGGUCAAAAGCCUAAAUAUAUCAUUUAGUGGGAGGCUCCAUUUAAUUAGCUUGUGUGUAAGGGGCCUUAUGUUAUUUUACAAGGUGGGUCCCCUAUAGAAAAAGCAAGUAACGUGAGUUGUGAUUUUCAUUAUUUGGAGCCUAGGGUUUUCACUAAAGGGAGAUAUAAAAAGGCUUAUUUUCGCUAAAAAAAAAAAAAGAGCAGUCACUUUAUAUAGAUCAGAAAAAAAGAUUUUUCUCUCUAUUGUUGAGAGAAAAAUUUUCUCGUGCUAGUUGCUUUGGUAAUGAUAAAGGCGCCCACACGUCAAGUGUAGAUCAAACCUGAGUUAUAACCUGGAAGAUCAUUGGUGACAGUUCGUGAUCUGACAAGCGUGGUGGUGAUGGACAGUGAUCUAACAGGAGUGGUGGUGACGGAUCGUGAUCUGGGAGCCUAAAUCACUUCAGCGAAAAAAGCUAAAUCGGAUUUUCAAUGUACGAUUUCUAGAUUACAAAUUCUUAUAUAUUGUAUGAGAGCGAUCUUAAAAGGUUUUAUAAAAAUUUAAAAACCUGAUUUUUCUCCAACAAUUGGUAUCAGAGCCAUCUCAUAUUAAUAUAUAAGAAUUUCGUAUGAAAUUAAUCUUGAAAUUUAUGUAUUAGAGUGGAACAAUUUAUUCAGAUAUAUAUUAUUUCUUUAAUAUAUAAAUAAAGCAUGUUAUGGUUUGUCUUAAUUCAUGGUUAGAUUCUCUAUUGUAUUUUUUCUUUGGAUCUCUAACAAGAGGGGUGGUUUUUUAUCACCAUGUUUCCCUCUUGAUUUAUUUACUGUUAUAGAAUUUUUGUAAGCCAAAAUUGGCCUAGGAAAUUUGUAAAUCAAUCUCGGAUUUUCAAGAUCAAACGGACAUGAAAGAAACGAAGGCUGGAUUUUUCAGCGGCGGCCACCAAUCAACAACGCAAUCACGCACGCAGCAGCCAGCGCGCGCGGGAAGCGUGGCUUGUGCGCGCAGCGCGUGCUGGCACAGGCUGCUCGCGCAGCAAACAGCGCGUGCUGCACGAGCAGCAAGUUGCACGCGCGAGUUUGGUGUGUUUCCGGUGACGCGGCGGCAGGUGGUUCGGCGUAGGAGAUGCGUCGGAGGUCGGCUGGCGUCUGAACAGUGGCUGAGGUUUUUGUUGAUGGCGGCUGGGGAGAAGGAAAAGAAAAAUGUGAUUUUAGGGUUUCAUGAUUUUUAUCAUGGAGGUCCCUAUAGUUUCAUAUUCUUUCUUGUGGGCAUAAAAUUUUAAUUUUUUGCAUUUAAGUUCAAACAUAGUUUUGGGCUUAAUGAAUCCUAGUUUUAGGCUCAAUUUCAAUUGGGCUUAAUGGAUUAAAAUGCAUAGAUAAAAUUGAAUAUAUUAAAUUUAUUUUUGGUCCAAAAGUUUUAUUUUAAUAAAUUUUAUUUUAAUUAUUUAUUUAUUUUCUUUCAAAAUUAAAAGCCCAAUUUCCCCUAGUCUAUUAACGAAGACAAGCUUAUGGAAUAUGGACAUUGACAAGAAGUCCAAUGAAGAUUAGGCUUAGGGUUAAUGUAUUUUUCAUUAUUAGGAAAGCCAUGAAUUAAGAUUAUUUAAUUGUUUUUCUAUAUGUUAUGUUUUGGAUGAUAACAUGCCAUAUAGAAUAGGUAGUGCCACUCUAUGCAUAAUGAUACAUGUCAUUCAUUAAUUAUGAAUUUCAUUAUAUUGUUUGAAAUUUGCAUAUGCUUAAUAAUAUUUGGUAUCAUCUAGAUAAUAUUAUAGGAAGCAUGCAAUUAACAAUAUUUAUGUUUUAAAAAGGAAAAACUAAUUUUAAAAUAUUGAGUGGGAGAGGGAAAAUUCAAGAUAAUUUUCCCACAGGCUCCAUUGUUAGUUCAAUAAUAAAAUUAUAUAUAUACCUCGACUUCAUGAUACGGUGAUGCUCCCUUCGGAGGGUAUAUAUAUUAGAUAUUUGAUUUGAUAAACUUCUUCAAAGAUAAAAUUGAAAUAUUUUUUAAUCGAUUGUUCACCCCAAAAGUGACUAUUGAUAUGAAAAAUACGUAGAUUGAAACAAUGGUUAUACACUCAACUAAAUUUGUUAUUAACCUUCCCAACGAAGCUCUGUUAACAAAUUUACGCCCAAAAAGGAUAACGAUAAUUAUUUAUCAUAUCUCUACAUGAAAGUAAAUAAUCCAAUGGGUAAUUGGGUCUAGUAAGUAUAGACAUGACUUCCCCAAUGGAUAGCUUGUCAAAGCGGAACUAGAUUAUCGUUACAAUAAAUUAAAAUGCAUUUAUGAUUUUAUGCAUUUAUGUCAUUUAUUGUGAAUAUUAUUUCAAACUAUUUAUGCAUGGAUGUUUUAUUUUUCAGAAAAUGUCUUCCCUGAGCCCACUUACUAUUAUUCUGAGUCAAAACAAACUCACUGGAGAGAACUAUAUAGAUUGGAAAAGAAAUCUAUUCAUUGUCCCGACUGCUGAAAAUUAUAAAUAUGUCUUAACCCAGCCAUGCCCUCCAGUUCCAGCGGAUAAUGCUCAUAGAAAUCAGAGGAGGCUUUAUAAGAAAUGGCAAAAGGCCAAUGAAAUAGCAAAAUGCUACAUUUUAGCCUCGAUUUCUAAUAUUCUGCAGACCAAACAUCAUAACUUGGAGACUGCCACUGAAGUAAUGGAUAGUCUCCAACAGAUGUUCGGGCAGAGUACUCGCUCCGCGAGACAAGCAGCGCUGAAAGGAAUUAUGAACAGUUAAAAUAGGAAAGGGCACAAGAGUUCGUGAUCAUGUCCUCAAAAUGAUGGACUAUUUAAAUGAGGCUGAGAUUCAGGGAGCACAAAUCGAUGAUAACUCAAAGAUUAACAUGGUGCUAGAAUCUCUGCCAGAAACAUUUAAGGAGUUUAAGGUCAAUUAUAACAUGAACAAAAGAAACAUGACCUUAACUGAAUUAAUGAACAAACUCCAUUCUGCUGAAGAGAUCUAUCGUGCUGAGAAAUCUCUGGGAAGCAUAAAUAUUACUGAAAAAAGUUCAUCUUCUGGGCCUAAACCAAAAGGCAAAUGCUUCAAGUGUGGACAGAAAGGUCACUAGAAAAAAUAUUGCCCUAAGAUUGUGAAAUCAGGUAUAGAAAAUCUUUUUGUAAUUGAGGCAUGUUUAGUUCAUAAUCCUAUUGACACUUGGGUGUUGGAUUCAGGAGCAACUAAUCAUAUUUGUAAUUCACUUUAUUGGUUUCAGGAAACCAGGAAAAUAAGUGAAGGAAACGUCAAGCUGCAGUUAGGGACAGAACAAUUCAUGUCAGCAGUGAAGACUUGAUCUGUUUUAUUAUCUUUUAAUAAUGAGACUUUAGUUUGAAUAAUUGUCUUUAUGUUCCAGACAUUAAGAGGAAUUUAAUUUCAGUAGCUUGUUUGUCAAAGCAAAGGUACACUGUAAAUUUUGGAUCUUCUAUUUCUAUUUUUCAUAAUAAGUGACUUAUUUGUCCUGGUACAUUGGAAGAUAAUUUAUAUCAUUUAAGUCUAAUGAUCCAUUCUAUGCAUGACACAGUGAUCAAUAAUGAUGGGCAUACACAUUUAUCUAAGAAAAGAAAUAUUUCUUCCAACCAAUGCUACCUCUGGCAUUUACGCUUGGGUCAUAUAAACCAAAAUAGGAUACAGAGAAUGAUCAAAGAUGGGCUCUCGGGUCCAUUAGAAAAUGAAUCAUUGCCACUAUGUGAAUCCUGUUUAGAAGGAAAAUGACCAAAAGGUCAUUCUCGGCCAAAGGAGUACGUGCAACAGUACCACUUGAAUUGGUACAUACAGAUGUAUGUGGACCAAUCAAUGUACAAGCUCGAGGAGGUUAUGAGUAUUUCAUCACUUUUACUGAUGAUUACUCGAGAUACGGUUAUGUUUAUCUGAUGCAUCACAAGUCUGAAGCUCUUGAGAAAUUCAAAGAGUAUAGGGCUGAGAUAGAAAAGCAAUUAGAUAAGAACAUAAAGAAACUUCGAUCUGAUCGAGGUGGUGAAUUUCUCUCAAGAGAUUUCAAAGAGUAUCUGGUGAGAAUGAGAUUAUAUCUCAGUUGACUGCCCCGGGAACACCACAACAAAAUGGGGUAGCUGAAAGAGAAAUAGAACUCUUUUGGAUAUGAAGAGAUCUAUAUUUAAUUAUUCGUCAUUACCAAUCUCUUUUUGGGGACUAGCACUGGAAACUGCAAUUUACCUCUUGAACUUAGUUCCAUCUAAGUCAGUGCCUAAAACCCCAAUAGAAUUAUGGUCAGGUCGCAAACCAAGUUUAUGACAUAUUCGUAUUUUGGGAUCACCAACACAUGUGCUGAAACCAAAGGCAGACAAAAUGGAUUCACGUUCUGAGGUUUGUAUGUUUGUGGGGUAUCCCAAAGGAACAAGGGGAGGUUUAUUUUAUAGUCUUCAAGAUAGGAAAGUGAUCGUGAGCACACAUUUCACUUCCUCGAGGAAGACUUAUAUAAAUAACUUCAAACCUAAGAGUAAGGUAAUACUUGAAGAACUGUCAAGUGAUCAGGUUGAUACUCAGCUUUCAAUGUCUGUUACAAAACAGGAAGAACAACAAACAACCAGAUGAUCAACACAGUAUUAUCCCUGAACAACCAUCACUUUUAGAACCUCGUCGUAGUGGGAGGGUAACUAGGUUACCUGCGAGAUACAUGCUUUUGGGAGAAACCUAUAUGGCUAUCUCAGAUGAACAUGUACAAGAUCCACUAGUUACAACGAAGCUCUAAUAGAUAGAGAUGUUGAAUUUUGGAAAAAGGCCAUGAAUCAAGAAAUUGAAUCUAUGUAUUCCAAUAAAGUUUGGGAACUUGUAGAGGCACCAAAUGGGGUAAAACCUAUAGGAUGCAAGUGGAUCUACAAGAGAAGAGGAGUAGACGGAAGGGUGGAAACAUUUAAAGCAAGAUUAGUAGCCAAAGGGUUUACUCAGAAAGAGGGAAUCGAUUAUGAGGAAACUUUUUCUCCUGUUGCUAUGCUUAAAUCCAUCAGGAUUCUGCUCUCCAUUGCUGCAGUGCUAGAUUAUGAAAUUUGGCAAAUUGAUGUCAAGACUGCCUUUCUUAACGGGCAUCUUGAAGAAAAUAUCUACAUGCAGCAAACUAGAUGGAUUUAUACAAAAAGGCCAUGAACACAUGGUAUGUAAGUUGCAGAGAUCCAUUUAUGGAUUGAAGCAAGCAUCCCGAUCAUGGAACAUCAGAUUUGAUCAAGCGAUUAAAUUGUUUGGAUUCAUUCAUAACAUUGAUGAACCAUGUGUGUACAAGAAAAUUCAAGAAAAUUUUGUAGCCUUCCUAAUUCUUUAUGUAGACGAUAUUCUCCUAAUUAGAAACGAUAUAUGAGUAUUGACUAUAAUAAAGAGUUAGUUAGCAAAACAAUUUGAUAUGAAAGACCUGGAGAGGCAAGUUAUAUUCUUGGUAUCAAGUUACUACGAGACCGGAAGAAUAAAACUUUAGCCUUGUCUCAAGCGGUCUAUAUCGAUAAGAUAUUGGCUAGAUUUAGCAUGGAAAAUUCCAAUACUGGUUUAUUACCAUUCAGACAUGGAAUUACAUUCUCUAAGGAUCAAUCACCUAAAACAUCUAAAGAGAUAGACAGAAUGAGACGAGUUCCCUAUGCAGAAGCUGUGGGAAGUCUCAUGUAUGCCAUGCUUUGCACUAGGCCAGACAUCUGUUUUGCGGUAUGGAUGGUUAGUAGAUAUCAAUCUAAUCCUGGACCUGAACACUAGAUUGCAGUCAAGCAUAUAAUGAAGUAUCUGAAAAGAACUAAAAAAUAUAUGCUUGUGUAUUCUGGUAAUGAACUCAUUCCAGUGGGUUAAACUGAUUCUGACUUUAUGUCAUAUAGAGAUUCCAGAAAAUCAACUUCCGGCUAUGUGUUUACAUUGGGAAGUGGAGUUAUUAGUUGGAGGAGUGUGAAACAAUCUUGUAUUGCAGACUCCACAACUGAAGCUGAAUAUGUGGUUGCAUCCGAAGCUGCAAAAAAAAACUGUAUGGCUUCGCAAGUUCCUACAAGAUCUUGAGGUGGUACAUGUUAUAACUUCACCCCUUAAAACUAUUUUACGUAAUAGUGGUGCGAUAGCUCAAUCUAAGGAACCAAGGAACCACAAGAAACAAAAACAUAUUGAGAGGAAGUAUCAUCUAUAUAAGGGAAAAUAGUGCAGAGAGGUGAUGUGGAGGUUACUCAGAUUGCGUCACAGCAAAACUUGGCAGAUCCUUUUACUAAGGCAUACCUAGGAAACCUUUUAACUUGCACUUAGAAUUCCAUGGGCAUGCGUGAGAUGCCAAAAUAUGCUUUGAGAGCUAGUGGGAGAUUGUUGGGAAAAUAUCUCUUUACAAGCAUAUGUGUUUAUUUAAUUGUAAUAAACAUUUUUUCUGAUUAAUAAAAAUUAAUGAGGUAUUUUAUUCAAAUAUCUUAAUUGCAUUAAUAUUUUUUAUUAAAGUCCAUUUAAUCAUAUUAUAUGUAUUUAUGUGAUCACCAUGUGGAUUCACAUAAGACAUAAAUACAAGUUAUCUUAUGAUUAAAUAAAUUUAGUUCGCAGUUGAUAAAAUAAAGUUGGACACUUUAUUUAGGUAUAGACUGUAAUAAAUUCAUUAAAUGAUUUUGUCUUAAUCAUGUAUGAAUUUAUUGAUGUAGUACGACUACAUUGAACAGGAUUCACAUAUGAGAUUUAAUUAACUUUUGUAAUAACUGUCAGACUUAUUAAAUCUCAUAGCAUUGAUUUACUGUAAUCUUAAUCUUGAGUUAAUUAUGAUUUCAUGAUUGUAAUUGUUAUUCUAUUUGAGUUACCAAUGGGCAUGACACAUACUUGUAGUCUAGAUUACCUGGUAUCUUGGUGGAGCAUUUAUGAGUAUUGGAGUUAUAGAUUAACAAUAUAGAAUUUGUACAACACAUCUCUUGAUGGGUUUUCGGCACUUGAUCAUAGAAUUCUCUGGCCAGAGUGUGUCAACAUAUUUAGUAUGUUGAAAUGAUCAUUAGAGAAAACCAGUAAGUAUCAAGGAAUAAGAUGUAAUUAAAUCGAUUGGACAGUUGAGAUAUCGAUUUAAUUAAUGAUGUGGUACAAAGGAUUGUGCAGUAAAGAAACCAAUGUGGCUUGGGACGAAUUAUUAUUGGAGCAAUACAAUUAUGGAGUCAAUUCCAAUCUUUUGUAGAUUUGGAAUUAAAUAAUUAGCUAGUUUAAUUACAGACUUAAUUGUUAUAGCCACUAUUGUAUGUUCCCAAAUGAUCCCCGGGUUUAACUCAUUUAAUUAACUGCAGCACUACUGGAUUAAUAUGCAAGAUAACUAGUUAUUUGGGUCAAAAGCCUAAAUAUAUCAUUUUAGUGGGAGGCUCCAUUUAAUUAGCUUGUGUGUAACGGUCCUUAUGUUAUUUUACAAGGUGGGUCCCCUAUAGAAAAAGCAAGUAACUUGAGUUUUGAUUUUUCAUUAUUUGGAGCCUAGGGUUUUCACUAAAGGGAAAUAUAAAAAGGCUUAUUUUCUCUAAAGAAAAAAAAAAAAGAGCAGCCACUUUAUACAGAUUAGAGAAAAAGAUUUUUCUCUCUAUUGUUGAGAGAAAAAUUUUCUCGUGCCAGUUGCUUUGGUAGUGAUAACGGCGCCCACACGUCAAGUGCAGAUCAAACCUGAGUCAUAACCUGGAAGAUCAUUGGUGACAGUUCGUGAUCUGACAAGCGUGGUGGUGACAGAUCAUGAUCUAACAGGAGUGGUGGUGACGGAUCGUGAUCUGGGAGCGUAAAUCAUUUCAGUGGAAAAAGCCAAAUCGGAUUUUCAAGGUACGAUUUCUAGAUUACAAAUUCUUAUAUAUUGUAUGAGAGCGAUCUUAAAAGGUUUUAUAAAAAAUAAAAAACAGGAUUUUUCGUCCAACAAUAUAUAUAUAGAAUUUCCCGCACUUUAAAAUCUUGGAUUGAAAAUUUUCUAUAUAAUUAUCCAUUUAACUAUAGCAUAAUCAUUAGAGACUCUCCUUAGAGACUCUUCUCUAGUUUCUGAAACAUUGAUUACACUAAUAAAUCUGGCUGAACAGGAUCUUCGUGGCAUGUGUGAGCAAGACAUGGGAUGCCUCCUUCAAUCUGGCAUCUUUCACAUGGAUACACUGGCCUUAGUUUCCUUAGGAAAUGAAACUAUUUAUUGUGUCAUCUUGUAGCCUUUUCUACUUUUGGUACUUCAUGGACUUGCAAGGGCUUGUUUAUUCUGCUCAUAUUCAUUUAUCCAUUGUGAAGGAAAGCUCGGUUGGUUUUGUUUGAAAGUUUUAGGAUGGAUAAUUCUUCCUUCUCUAGCAGUAAAUCUAGUGAUAAGAAAGGUUACUAUGGCUCAUGGAAAACAUGUGGGUUUUGGACUUUGUAGGUCAUGGUAUGGUGAACUGCAAGAGCCGAUUCAUUUGGCUUCAUGGUUAGUCCAUUUAUUUGGACUAAGACUUUUAUGGUUUCUAGAAGGGCUGGUUUGUGCAGAUCUAGGUGAAAUUUGGUUCACUUGGAUAACUACAUGCCCUGGUUGAGUCCUGCCUCAACUGCUGAGAUCAAAGCUUUUUCAAAAGUUUGCCAUCUUGUUUCAAGAAUGGCAAGAAGGCAAGUGAUAUUUUUGCCUGCAAUGAAUAAAGGUUGGAUCCCAAGUCUGAUUGCACCUAAAUGCAAUUCGUUGUAUCCUUCAAUCCUAUAUCUCUUAAUAUCGUGUGGAGAGAGAAUAUGAAAAUAGGUUUCUUUAGAGCUAGAGGAAAUAGAUUGUACGACAACUUCAGAAGACUUUUACACAGACUUGAGUUUUGGCUGACGGAAAAGGAAACAACAUACUUUAUGGAAGAAAUUAGGGUAUUUACAUCAUAGGACUUGUAAUGAUUUAGAGGAUCUAAUCUAAGAGGUUGGAUAGCUUUUUGGUUUAUUUCUUCUUGGGUUUUGAAAUGGAAAUUUACAAUAGGAGAAUUAUUAUUUAGAGAGAAAAGAUGAGGAAACCUCCAUACUAGAGGUAUUGGUUCCCCAGACUUGGUUAUAUUUUUGGUUGUCCAUGGUCCCCGACAGCCCUAACACCAAGUCUUAAUAUCCAGGAGGAUACACAAUAGACUUCUUUUACUAGCGAUAAGCCCAAAACCCAACACAGCUCUCCUUGGCCUAAUAAUAGGGCGCCACACCUCUUAAGGAAAUCUUUUCUAUAAAUCUCUUGACCAAAUAACCUAGUUUUGAGAAAAACAGGCUUUCUAGUCUUCUAUAAAGUUUCUGAUGUAGCAGAUCCGUUUCUAACGGCGACCACAGAGCAUACUUUAUUAUAGAAGGGUUUUUGAAAACUUCUUUUGGGAGUACUGGCUCUUAUACCAAUUUAAAAUUAAGAAGAUUUAGAGGAUGAUUUUAUUAUAAGAAAAGAGAAUACAAGAUUUCACCAAGAACUCUUACAACUCAAGACUCAAAGACUCGAUUAUCUAGCACACUACUAGGGAGUCCCUUUUAUAGCACCAUACAUCCUUAUCUUUAAGGAAUCUACUUUACAAACUCAACACAUUUGACUCUACACACUUGUCACUUAUUUAUUGGUAACUAUAAUUAAGUGACAAGUAGAUUUCUUGUGUGAUGUAACAUAAAGGAGUGAUAAGUCAUAAAUUAAAUUCCUUCAAGAUAAGAUUGUAAUUAUGUAAAUAGUGAAAGGAGAUUCCAGAAAUUUUCCAAUUCAAGAUUUUUAAAGUGUGGGAAAAUUUUAAGAAACUUUAAAACCCUACGAUUUUAAAGUGUUAAUUUAUAUAUAACUCCUUAAUUUUAGUUUAAAAGAGAAAACAUAAUGUAUCAUAAUUGACAAACAAAUACAUUAGAAGAAUCAUUUUGAAAGCUACAAGUAAAAAGGGGGUGGAUGAAUGAUUAUGAUAAAUAAUAUAAACAAAAGACGAACCAACAAAGUUUGAAAUAUUUUUUGAAAUUGAUUCAACUUACAUGUUAGUGUAAGCUUAAGUAUGACCUUAACUUUUGUAAUAAACGUGCAUGAUGAAUGAGCUACAUAAGCAGUUUUUUUCUUUAUAGAAUACAAUAUAUGAAGAUUAAUAAUUAAAAAAAAAUUGUCUGUGUGGAUGAUCGUGGAUGGUCAUCCUCUUGUUUUUUUUGAGUGAUUAUUGGUUACGAUAGCCCAGCUAUUAGAUCUGUCCGUCUAUCAAAUAUGUGCAAUUAAAGUUUAGUUAUUUAAUUAUUUAAUUGAAUGAAAUAUCUCUCGUUUUAAAAAAAAGAUUAAUAGGACGAAAUAUUUUUUUUUCUCAAUGUUUUUAUAAUUUAGUGACAAAAACUGGUUUGCUUAUAAAUAAUAAGGUGAAAAAAAAUUAAAAAAAAAAACUAAUCUUAACGCUCAAAAAAUUAAAGAGAACCAAAGGAAAAAUAAAAAUAUAAAGAAAAAGAUCUCUGUGCAAAAACAAAGUUCGGAAUAUCUCUAACUCUAACAACCCAUUAUUUGCAAUUACAAUUACCCCAUAAUUUUAUUGCAAUAAAAUAAAGUCAGCCAAUCAGAAUUUCAGAAUGGUCAGUCAAACUCAAGUCCAAAUAGGCAAAUACCCACUUUCCAUAAGAAAGUCAAAAGCCCAGCAAACCCCAAAAACAAUCGGAUUCGGAUUCAAACCUUCACGGUCGACCCAACCGCCCAAUAGACUUUACAGUUACAACGAGGGCAACCAGCAAAGCAAAAGCAAAAAAUGUUUCAAACUUUUGUUGGUUCAUCAACAAAAUUGUUUGUAUCAAAAACACGUGUGAUUUUGAGCAUUAAAUAAUCGAAUUCUCUUAAAUAUACACAACAUCAGUGAAAUAAUACAAAGUAGUGUGUGUGCAGAACCAUGCGUAUAUGAGAACUGAGAUUAGCAACCCUACAAAUAACUGACAUGCCGGAAGUGGUUAUGUCAAAGACUUACACUGUGGGAGCAAGCUUCAAGGGUUAAGUUCAAUCUUAUCUUUUACAGGGACCUGUCUAUGGUACAGAUUCUGUAACAAACAUCUCCGUCAUCCCACCAUCCGAUUUUCUAUUGUUCAGUUUUCUCACUCCACAUCCAACGGCUGAUGCUGCAGUCUGUACCUUACAGAUUCUGUAAGCUAGUCGGAGUCCCUUUUACAGAUAUGUGCAAGAACUAUUUACAAAAAAAAGUUCUGGCCUAGGAUACUUUAUCUGCAGAUUAUUGGUAUUUUAAAAUGGGCAAUAUAUCGUUGUUUAUUUGCUUAAUUGUAUCUGAUUCAAAUCCAGCGAAACUAGAAGCAUCGAAUUCUUUUCUUACUAGCAUUUUGUGUUUAUCAACCCUGGAAAGGAGUCUAAUUGAGGCUCUGAGUUGACUACUCUAUUAAUGGGAGUUGGUUAUUAGAAAUGCCUUGAACAAAAUAAAAAAGACAUAUUUCAAUUGCUUUAUAGAGCAAUGAUCGGUAAAUGCUUUCAUUUUCUUUAAACAUCUAAACUUUUUCCUCAAAAUAAGGCGCAUCAAUAAUAUCGAACUAAAGAUUAAGCAUAUUUGCACGUGCCAGUUACUUUUUGGAUGUGAUUACAUUAUAGACUGGAUUUCAAGUUUUCCAUAAUAAUUUUCAACUCCUAUGUUAGUUUUCAAGUUUUGACUCUCGCGUUAAAGUUUUCAUGUCUGUAACCUAGACCUGUGAACUAGCAAAUUCCUUAUUGUAAAGGUACAAAACGCAAACAUCACUUUCCAAGUAAUUAAAUAUUAUUGUGGCAAAAUGCGAAAUCAAAUGCACCAUAUAAUUACAGAAAAAUAAUAACACAAUUAUUUAACGUAGUUCGGUAACUAAACAUAUAUUCACGGAGACAAGAAAGAAUAAUUGUUUAUUUAACAAUUAAUAGAGUACAAAUAUUUGAGUAACGAAUCAUUUUUCAUAAAUCAAAUAUACCUAGUACUCUCACACUCUGAAGGAAGAUAAAUUCCCUAAACACACUUCUCUCACUUCUUUCAAAAGCUUAGAAACUUAUAAGUUUAACAAAUUUUAGGGAUGAUUUCCAAGUGAAGAAUGCAUCUCUAUUUAUAGCCAAAAUGAUUGUACUGUUGCACCAAACCCUUAGUCAAAUUGUCAAUUAAAUCUGCAACUAAAUUCUUCAAAAUUGACAACACAUGCAUGCGGUGCCAACUUCCUCCAAAUUGUCAAUUAUGCAUGUGGCUUACCUUUUCUUUUUCAACCAAUUUGAAUAAACAACUCACCAAAAAUCUUUGACUUUUCAAUAAUUCUCCACAUUGGCGAAGAUUUGUCUAAAUCUAAGCUGACUACCAAUAAACCAUCCCCAAAGUGGCUGCAUCUCUGUGACUGCCUACGUACCCAAACUUAGGAUCAAGCCAACUGUAGUUCAAAAUUCUCCAAACUCAAUGCAUUCGAAGAAUUUGAAUUAGUUUCAAUCCGUACAAAGAUUUAAUCAUUCUGCAUACACGAUUCUCCUUUCUAGCAACUUUGAAACCACAAGGCUGAGUCAUAUCAAUUUCUUCCUCCAAAUCUCCAUGCAAGAAUGCUUUUUUGACAUCCAAUUGAGCCAACUCUAACUCAUAUUCAGCUACCAAGGCAAGUAGGAUACGAAUGGAAGUAUGUUUUACAACUGGAGAAAUACUUCAUUAUAAUCAAUACCUUCCUUCUGAGCAAAAUCUUUUGCAAUGAGCCUUGCCUUAUAUCGGAGAGUUGAUUGAUUUGGAGAUCCUUAUUUCUUGGUGUAGACCCAUUUAUUGCCAAUAACCAUUUUCCCCUUUGGUAACUUUACAAGUUUCCAAGUCUGGUUUUGAUGGAGAGAUUUCAUCUAAGGCAAGUUAUAUUCUUGGUAUCAAGUUACUACGAGACCGGAAGAAUAAAACUUUAGCCUUGUCUCAAGCGGUCUAUAUCGAUAAGAUAUUGGCUAGAUUUAGCAUGGAAAAUUCCAAUACUGGUUUAUUACCAUUCAGACAUUGAAUUACAUUCUCUAAGGAUCAAUCACCUAAAACAUCUAAAGAGAUAGACAGAAUGAGACGAGUUCCCUAUGCAGAAGCUGUGGGAAGUCUCAUGUAUGCCAUGCUUUGCACUAGGCCAGACAUCUGUUUUGCGGUAUGGAUGGUUAGUAGAUAUCAAUCUAAUCCUGGACCUGAACACUAGAUUGCGGUCAAGCAUAUAAUGAAGUAUCUGAAAAGAACUAAAAAAUAUAUGCUUGUGUAUUCUGGUGAUGAACUCAUUCCAGUGGGUUAAACUGAUUCUGACUUUAUGUCAUAUAGAGAUUCCAGAAAAUCAACUUCCGGCUAUGUGUUUACAUUGGGAAGUGGAGUUAUUAGUUGGAGGAGUGUGAAACAAUCUUGUAUUGCAGACUCCACAACUGAAGCUGAAUAUGUGGUUGCAUCCGAAGCUGUAAAAAAAACUGUAUGGCUUCGCAAGUUCCUACAAGAUCUUGAGGUGGUACAUGUUAUAACUUCACCCCUUAAACUAUUUUACGAUAAUAGUGGUGCGAUAGCUCAAUCUAAGGAACCAAGGAACCACAAGAAACAAAAACAUAUUGAGAGGAAGUAUCAUCUUAUAAGGGAAAUAGUGCAGAGAGGUGAUGUGGAGGUUACUCAGAUUGCGUCACAGCAAAACUUGGCAGAUCCUUUUACUAAGGCCAUACCUAGGAAACCUUUUUAACUUGCACUUAGAAUCCAUGGGCAUGCGUGAGAUGCCAAAUAUGCUUUGAGAGCUAGUGGGAGAUUGUUGGGAAAAUAUGCUCUUUACAAGCAUAUGUGUUUAUUUAAUUGUAAUAAACAUUUUUUCUGAUUAAUAAAAAUUAAUGAGGUAUUUUAUUCAAAUAUCUUAAUUGCAUUAAUAUUUUUAUUAAAGUCCAUUUAAUCAUAUUAUAUGUAUUUAUGUGAUCACCAUGUGGAUUCACAGAAGACAUAAAUACAAGUUAUCUUAUAAUUAAAUAAAUUUAGUUCGUAGUUGAUAAAUUAAGUUGGGCACUUUAUUUAGGUAUAGACUGUAAUAAAUUCAUUGAAUGAUUUGUCUUAAUCAUGUAUGAAUUUAUUGAUGUAGUAACGACUACAUUGAACAGGAUCACAUAUGAGAUUUAAUUAACUUUGUAAUAACUGUCCAGACUUAUUAAAUCUCAUAGGCAUUGAUUUACUGUAAUCUUAAUCUUGAGUUAAUUAUAAUUUCAUGAUUGUAAUUGUUAUUCUAUUUGAGUUACCAAUGGGCAUGACACAUACUUGUAGUCUAGAUUACCUGGUAUUUGGUGGGAGCAUUUAUGAGUAUUGGAGUUAUAGAUUAACAAUAUAGAAAUUUGUACAACACAUCUCUUGAUGGGUUUUCGGCACUUGAUCAUAGAAUUCUCUGGCCAGAAGUGUGUCAACAUAUUUAGUAUGUUGAAAAUGAUCAUUAGAGAAAACAGUAAGUAUCAAGGAAUAAGAUGUAAUUAAAUCGAUUGGACAGUUGAGAUAUCGAUUUAAUUAAUGAUGUGAUACAAAGGAUUGUGCAGUAAAGAAACCAAUGUGGCUUGGGACGAAUUAUUAUUCGAGCAUACAAUUAUGGAGGUCAAUUCCAAUCUUUUGUAGAUUUGGAAUUAAAUAAUUAGGCUAGUUUAAUUACAGACUUAAUUGUUAUAGCCACUAAUUGUAUGUUCCCAAAUGAUCCCGGGUUAACUCAUUUAAUUAACUGCAGCACUACUGGAUUAAUAUGCAAGAUAACUAGUUAUUUGGGUCAAAAGCCUAAAUAUAUCAUUUAGCGGGGAGGCUCCAUUUAAUAGCUUGUGUGUAACGAUCCUUAUGUUAUUUUACAAGGUGGGUCCCCUAUAGAAAAAAGCAAGUAACUUGAGUUUGAUUUUUAAUUAUUUGGAGCCUAGGGUUUUCACUAAAGGGAAAUAUAAAAAGACUUAUUUUCUCUAAAGAAAAAAAAAGAGCAGCCAACUUUAUACAGAUUAGAGAAAAAGAUUUUUCUCUCUAUUGUUGAGAGAAAAAUUUCUCGUGCCAGUUGCUUUGGUAGUGAUAACGGCGCCCACACGUCAAGUGCAGAUCAAACCUGAGUCAUAAACCUGGAAGAUCAUUGGUGACAGUUCGUGAUCUGACAAGCGUGGUGGUGACAGAUCAUGAUCUAACAGGAGUGGUGGUGACGGAUUGUUGUGCAAAUUUUAAUGUACUCGCAAGCGCACGAAUCUAUUGUAGUAAUAGAUCAAUGGUGACGAGUGUCGAUCCCACGAGGAGGUGGAUUUUAAUUAUGUGUAGAAUUAAUUUUGCAAAAUGGGUGGUUGGAUUUAUGGUGGAAAUGAUUUGGAAUAUGCUAAAACUUAAAUUAAAAUGGCGAGAAUAAAUUCUAAAAUUGGAAUUGCAAUGGCGAGAAUAAAUUGAAGAUAAUUCUAUUUGAAAUGACGUACUUGGGUAUUCGGAUCCGUAUCAACAUGCAUCAUGGGCUAAAUAAUCCGUAUUAAUGCCAAUUAAAUCAUGAUGGGGGAAUCCACACAUCAUGAACCACGCUCUAAUCAAUAUGGUGCUAAGGGCUUAUCGUGCCAAAUAAUAAUAACCUUAUACUAGAGAGCCGGUGUAACCAGGCGGCAUCUAGACAAGAUUAGUAUUAUUUGUCGACGAGAAGUCAAAACAUCCACAAAAACUAGAGGGGAAGAGAAAAUAAAUUUACCAAAUUAAGCCCAUGACACAUGUUGAGACUUCACCUUCAACCCAAGCUUGAAAGAAAAUUAGCCACUCAUAAUUGAACUAGGGGCAAAAUGGGAAUUUAUUAAAAUACAAAGAAAAUACAAGAUGGAGAGGGAAUUACAGAAAAUGGAUCCCAAAAAUGGAUUCAGAGAUAUCAAAUUAGGGGGGGGAGGCCCCUUUUUAUAGAUACAUGGAGUAAAUCAUGGCCAUCGGAUUAAAAACAGUUUGGACGCUCAGGAUUGCGCCACGUCAUCAGUCAAUAGUCCACGGUUUGACCACGCGGAUGAACAGUAACACGGUUUGACCCGGAUGAACAGUAACGCGGUUUGGUUGAAAAUAAUCCUGUGUGAUGCAUGCACCGUACGCGAGAUUUUUCGUCCACUGAUAUGCUGCCACGUCACCAUCAACAGUACAUAAGAAUUUUAGUCCAACAGGAUCGUGACACCUCAUCAGUCAAUGCCACAUCAUCGGUCAAUACCACGUUAUCGAUCCGUCUAUGUGAACAGUACCGUGAACAGUAACAUAUACAGUACCGUAUACGUGAAUAGUACCGUACAUGUGAAUAGUGCCAUUUUUCCUUUUAUGCCCCUCCUAAGGUUUUCGACCGUCCUGAGUUCAAAAGUGAUGUCCGUUUUGCCAUCUGAUCUCUCCUUUAUUGUGAAAUGACUAUAAUGCCCCUAAAAUACAUAAAAUACUUAAUUAAAAUAAAACACAUGUAAUUAAAUCACAAGAAGGUUAAAUACAUAAAAGUAAGGGUUGUUAAUAAGACUUGAAAUGUAAAAUGACGGUUUUCUCCUUUAUAAAUAUGCAUUUUCUAGCACUCAACACGGAUCGUGAUCUGGGAGCCUAAAUCAUUUCAGUGGAAAAAGCCAAAUCGGAUUUUCAAGGUACGAUUUCUAGAUUACAAAUUCUUAUAUAUUGUAUGAGAGCGAUCUUAAAAGGUUUUAUAAAAAAUAAAAAACAGGAUUUUUCUCCAACAAUAUAUAUAUAGAAUUUCCCGCACUUUAAAAUCUUGGAUUGAAAAUUUUCUAUAUAUAUCCAUUUAACUGUAGCAUAAUCAUUAGAGACUCUCCUUAGAGACUCUUCUCUAGUUUCUGAAACAUUGAUUACACUAAUAAAUCUGGCUGAACAAGAUCUUCGUGGCAUGUGUGAGCAAGACAUGGGAUGCCUCCUUCAAUCUGGCAUCUUUCACAUGGAUACACUGGCCUAGUUUCCUUAGGAAAUGAAACUAUUAUUGUGUCAUCUUGUAGCCUUUCUACUUUUGGUACUUCAUGGACUUGCAAGGGCUUGUUAUUCUGCUCAUAUUCAUUUAUCCAUUGUGAAGGAAAGCUCGGUUGGUUUUGUUUGAAAGUUUUGGGAUGGAUAAUUCUUCCUUCUCUAGCAGUAAAUCUAGUGAUAAGAAGGUUACUAUGGCUCAUGGAAAACAUGUGGGUUUGGACUUUGUAGGUCAUGGUAUGGUGAACUGCAAGAGCCGAUUCAUUUGGCUUCAUGGUUAGUCCAUUUAUUUGGACUAAGACUUUUAUGGUUUCUAGAAGGGCUGGUUUGUGCAGAUCUAGGGUGAAAUUUGGUUCCACUUGGAUAACUACAUGCCCCUGGUUGAGUCCUGCCUCAACUGCUGAGAUCAAAGCUUUUUCAAAAGUUUUCCAUCUUGUUUCAAGAAUGGCAAGAAGGCAAGUGAUAUUUUUGCCUGCAAUGAAUAAAGGUUGGAUCCCAAGUCUGAUUGAACCUAAAUGCAAUUCGUUGUAUCCUUCAAUCCUAUAUCUCUUAAUAUCGUGUGGAGAGAGAAUAUGAAAAUAGGUUUCUUUAGAGCUAGAGGAAAUAGAUUGUACAACAACUUCAGAAGACUUUUACACAGACUUGAGUUUUGGCUGACGGAAAGGAACAACAUACUUUAUGGAAGAAAUUAGGGUAUUUACAUCAUAGGACUUGUAAUGAUUUAGAGGAUCUAAUCUAAGAGGUUGGAUAGCUUUUUGGUUUAUUUCUUCUUGGGUUUUGAAAUGGAAAUUUACAAUAGGAGAAUUAUUAUUUAGAGAAAAAGAUGAGGAAACCUCCAUACUAGAGGUAUGUUCCCCAGACUUGGUUAUAUUUUGGUUGUCCAUGGUCCCCGACAGCCCUAACACCAAGUCUUAAUAUCCAGGAGGAUACACAAUAGACUUCUUUUACUAGCGAUAAGCCCAAAACCAACACAGCUCUCCUUGGCCUAAUAAUAGGGCGCCACACCUCUUAAGGAAAUCUUUUCUAUAAAUCUCUUGACCAAAUAACCUAGUUUUGAGAAAAACAGGCUUUCUAGUCUUCUAUAAAGUUUCUGAUGUAGCAGAUCCGUUCUAACGGCGACCACAGAGCAUACUUUAUUAUAGAAGGGUUUUUGAAAACUUCUUUUGGGAGUACUGGCUCUUAUACCAAUUUAAAAUUAAGAAGAUUUAGAGGAUGAUUUUAUUAUAAGAAAAGAGAAUACAAGAUUUCACCCAAGAACUCUUACAACUCAAGACUCAAAGACUCGAUUAUCUAACACACUACUAGGGAGUCCCUUUUAUAGGCACCAUACAUCCUUAUCUUUAAGGAAUCUACUUUACAACUCAACACAUUUGACUCUACACACUUGUCACUUAUUUAUUGGUAACUAUAAUUAAGUGACAAGUAGAUUUCUUGUGUGAUGUAACAUAAAGGAGUGAUAAGUCAUAAAUUAAAUUCCUUCAAGAUAAGAUGUAAUUAUGUAAAUAGUGAAAGGAGAUUCCCAGAAAUUUUCCAAUUCAAGAUUUUAAAGUGUGGAAAAUUUUAAGAAAACUUUAAAACCCUACGAUUUUAAAGUGUUAAUUUAUAUAUAACUCCUUAAUUUUAGUUAAAAGAGAAAACAUAAUGUAUCAUAAUUGACAAACAAAUACAUUAGAAGAAUCAUUUUGAAAGCUACAAGUAAAAAGGGGGUGGAUGAAUGAUUAUGAUAAAUAAUAUAAACAAAAAGACGAACCAACAAAGUUUGAAAUAUUUUUUGAAAUUGAUUCAACUUACAUGUUAGUGUAAGCUUAAGUAUGACCUUAACUUUUGUAAUAAACGUGCAUGAUGAAUGAGCUACAUAAGCAGUUUUUUUCUUUAUAGAAUACAAUAUAUGAAGAUUAAUAAUUAAAAAAAAAAUUGUCUGUGUGGAUGAUCGUGGAUGGUCAUCCUCUUGUUUUUUUUGAGUGAUUAUUGGUUACGAUAGCCCAGCUAUUAGAUCUGUCCGUCUAUCAAAUAUGUGCAAUUAAAGUUUAGUUAUUUAAUUAUUUAAUUGAAUGAAAUAUCUCUCGUUUUAAAAAAAGAUUAAUAGGACAAAAUAUUUUUUUUUCUCAAUGUUUUUAUAAUUCAGUGACAAAAACUGGUUUGCUUAUAAAUAAUAAGGUGAAAAAAAAUUAAAAAAAAAAACUAAUCUUAACCGCUCAAAAAAUAAAGAGAACCAAAGGAAAAAUAAAAAUAUAAAGAAAAAGAUCUCUGUGCAAAAACAAAGUUCGGAAUAUCUCUAACUCUAACAACCCAUUAUUUGGCAAUUACAAUUACCCCAUAAUUUUAUUGCAAAUAAAAUAAAGUCAGCCAAUCAGAAUUCAGAAUGGUCAGUCAAACUCAAGUCCAAAUAGGCAAAUACCCACUUUCCAUAAGAAAGUCAAAAGCCCAGCAAACCCCAAAACAAUCGGAUUCGGAUUCAAACCUUCACGGGUCGACCCAACCGCCCAAUAGACUUUACAGGUUACAACGAGGCAACCAGCAAAGCAAAAGCAAAAAAUGUUUCAAACUUUUGUUGGUUCAUCAACAAAAUUGUUUGUAUCAAAACACGUGUGAUUUUGAGCAUUAAAUAAUCGAAUUCUCUUAAAUAUACACAACAUCAGUGAAAUAAUACAAAAUAGUGUGUGUGCAGAACCAUGCGUAUAUGAGAACUGAGAUUAGCAAACCCUACAAAUAACUGACAUGCCGGAAGUGGUUAUGUCAAAGACUUACACUGUGGGAGCAAGUUUCAAGGGUUAAGUUUCAAUCUUAUCUUUUACAGGGACCUGUCUAUGGUACAGAUUCUGUAACAAACAUCUCCCGUCAUCCCACCAUCCGAUUUUCUAUUGUUCAGUUUCUCACUCCACAUCCAACGGCUGAUGCUGCAGUCUGUACCUUACAGAUUCUGUAAGCUAGUCGAGUCCCUUUUACAGAUAUGUGCAAGAACUACUUACAAAAAAAGUUCUGGCCUAGGAUACUUUAUCUGCAGAUUAUUGGUAUUUUAAAAUGGGCAAUAUAUCGUUGUUUAUUUGCUUAAUUGUAUCUGAUUCAAAUCCAGCGAAACUAGAAGCAUCGAAUUCUUUUCUUACUAGCAUUUUGUGUUUAUCAACCCUGGAAAGGAGUCUAAUUGAGGCUCUGAGUUGACUACUCUAUUAAUGGGAGUUGGUUAUUAGAAAUGCCUUGAACAAAAUAAAAAGACAUAUUUCAAUUGCUUUAUAGAGCAAUGAUCGGUAAAUGCUUUCAUUUUCUUUAAACAUCUAAACUUUUUCCUCAAAAUAAGGCGCAUCAAUAAUAUCGAACUAAAGAUUAAGCAUAUUUGCACGUGCCAGUUACUUUUUGGAUGUGAUUACAUUAUAGACUGGAUUUCAAGUUUUCCAUAAUAAUUUUCAACUCCUAUGUUAGUUUUCAAGUUUUGACUCUCGCGUUAAAGUUUUCAUGUCUGUAACCUAGACCUGUGAACUAGCAAAUUCCUUAUUGUAAAGGUACAAAACGCAAACAUCACUUUCCAAGUAAUUAAAUAUUAUUGUGGGCAAAAUGCGAAAUCAAAUGCACCAUAUAAUUACAGAAAAAUAAUAACACAAUUAUUUAACGUAGUUCGGUAACUAAACAUAUAUUCACGGAGACAAGAAAGAAUAAUUGUUUAUUUAACAAUUAAUAGAGUACAAAUAUUUGAGUAACGAAUCUCAUUUUUCAUAAACUCAAAUAUACCUAGUACUCUCACACUCUGAAGGAAGAUAAAUUCCCUAAACACACUUCUCUCACUUCUUUCAAAAGCUUAGAAACUUAUAAGUUUAACAAAUUUUAGGGAUGAUUUCCAAGUGAAGAAUGCAUCUCUAUUUAUAGCCAAAAUGAUUGUACUGUUGCACCAAACCCUUAGUCAAAUUGUCAAUUAAAUCUGCAACUAAAUUCUUCAAAAUUGACAAACACAUGCAUGCGGUGCCAACUUCCUCCAAAUUGUCAAUUAUGCAUGUGGCUUACCUUUUCUUUUUCAACCAAUUUGAAUAAACAACUCACCAAAAAUCUUUGACUUUUCAAUAAUUCUCCACAUUGGCGAAGAUUUGUCUAAAUCUAAGCUGACUACCAAUAAACCAUCAUCCCCAAAGUGGCUGCAUCUCUGUGACUGCCUACGUACCCAAACUUAGGAUCAAGCCAACUGUAGUUCAAAAUUCUCCAAACUCAAUGCAUUCGAAGAAUUUGAAUUAGUUUCAAUCCGUACAAAGAUUUAAUCAUUCUGCACACACGAUUCUCCUUUCUAGCAACUUUGAAACCACAAGGCUGAGUCAUAUCAAUUUCUUCCUCCAAAUCUCCAUGCAAGAAUGCUGUUUUGACAUCCAAUUGAGCCAACUCUAACUCAUAUUCAGCUACCAAGGCAAGUAGGAUACGAAUGGAAGUAUGUUUUACAACUGGAGAAAAUACUUCAUUAUAAUCAAUACCUUCCUUCUGAGCAAAAUCUUUUGCAAUGAGUCUUGCCUUAUAUCGGAGAGUUGAUUGAUUUGGAGAUCCUUAUUUCUUGGUGUAGACCCAUUUAUUGCCAAUAACCAUUUUCCCCUUUGGUAACUUUACAAGUUUCCAAGUCUGGUUUUGAUGGAGAGAUUUCAUCUCUUCCUCCAUAGCUAACUUCCACUGAUCACUUUCACUGCUGCGUAAUGCUUCACCAAAAGUAUUGGGGAUGUCAUCAUCAAUAACUGGAAGUACAUGGGCUACCACCAUGUCUUUAGCUUACCAUUCGAGUUUCUUUAUCUCUCUUCUUGGCCUCCUUGUUGCUAUAGAAUCAUCAUUAUCUACACCAUCAGUUGUUUCUUCAUUUUGUGGGACAUCAGAAAAAAUAACCUCUUCUUCAACUUUAGGUGCCACCUCCAUAGUUGAACAUUUCUCUUAUAUAAAACCAACUGGUACAUAUGGAGUUGCAUCAAACUCCACCCGCUGCAAUACCUAUGUGGUCUUGUUCUCCACCUGCUGAGAACUUGAAGCUUUCAUCAUUGAAGCUUCAUCAAAUAUGACAUCUCUGCUACACACAAUUUUUUUACCUUCGAGAUCCCAAAUCUUGAAGCCAUUUACUCCACCUCUGAAUCCCACAAAGAUAACUUUUCUAGCACGAGGAUCCAGUUUACCAUCUUUGACAGGAUAAUAAGCUGGACACCCGAAUAUACGAAGGGAAUCAUAGUCUUGUGCAUGCUUUCCAGACCAUAUUUUCAUAGGAGUUUUACCUCCAAUUGUAGCAGAAGGCAACUGGUUUAUCAAGUAGCUUCAGCCCAAAACUUUUUAUCUAAACCAGCAUUAGAUAACAUACAUCGUACUUUCUCCAACAAAGUACGAUUCAUACGCCCAACCACACUGUUUUGUUGCGGAGUAUGUCUUAUCGUGAAAUGUCUUUUAAUAACCUCUUUCUGGCAUACUUGGAAGAAUGGAUCAGAAGUAUAUUCACCCCCAUUAUCAUAUCGUAAUACUUUGAUCUUUCUGCCAGUUUGAGUCUCCACCAGUUUCUUCCAUUUCACGAAAAUCUCUAAAACUUCAUCAUUUGCUCGCAUGGUGUACACCCACACAUGUCUAGAGAAAUCAUCAACAAAUAUAAUAAAAUAAUGGCUUCCACCAAUUGAUACAGUCUUGGUUGGUCCCCAUAAAUUACAGUAAACAUAUUCAAGGAUCUCACAAGUAUCAUGAUUGGUUGUACCAAAUUUGACUCUUAUUUUCUUGCCUACUACACAAUGCUCAUAGAAAUUUAAUUUACAGGCUUUGGUACAUUUUAAGAGUCUAUGCCUUAUCAGAAUUUGUAAAAACUUCUCUCCAGCAUGUCUCAGUCGUACAUGCCAUAGCUUGGUGGUGUCACAGUGUGCCUCAACAACAUUUGCUUCAUCAAUUGUACCUCCCUUCAAAUAGUACAUAUUGUGAUGUCGAACUCCUUGCAGAAUCAUCAUAGCUCCAUGUGUAAACUUCAUUGUGCCAUCUUCAAUGGCAACCUUAUAGCCUUUAGCUUUUAGAGUACCCACAAAAAUUAAAUUUUUCUUUAAAGUUGUAACAUAUCUAACCUCUUUCAGUUUUCUGACCAUUCCAUCAAACAUUUUGAGCCAAAUUGUUCCUAUCCCCAUUGUGCAACAAUGUUGAUCAUUCCCCAUCACAACUGCACCGGAUUCCAGAUUACAAAAAUCUGUUAACCAUUCCUUAAUGGGACACAAAUGAUAGGUUGCUCUAGUAUCAAGUAUCCACUCGCUCGAACUUGCAACAUACGCCGUAGACGUAAUAGAUAGUGAGUAGUCAAAGUCUCCAUCCACACGUGUCAUGUUUACUGCUACUGGUUUCUUCCCAUUUCUCUUUUGAGCCUUUGGACAAUCAUUUCUCCAAUGGCUUUUUUCAUGACACAAUGCACACUCAUCUCUGGCUAUAUUUAUGCUUCUCGAUUUAGACCGAGAGUUCUUUCCACCAUGCUUCUUCUUUUUCUCCAUCGCCAUUUCUCUAGUUAACAAAGCUUCAGAUGAUGCUCUUUCGGAAUGUUAAUCAUUAUUCCGAAUUUCCAAAUUGGUCAAUGUUAUGCAGACAUCUUUGAAAAUGAUCACGUUUUUCCCAUAUAUCAAAGUAGUCACAAAAUGACUAUAUUCCUCUAGUAGUGAGUGUAACAUAAUUAUAACAUUGACUUCAUCCUUAAUAUCUUCAUCAAGAUUCUUCAAAUUAGCAAGUAACUUUUCAAAUCUUGAGACAUGAUCAUGCAUUGACACCCCAGGCUUCAUUCGAAAGCCAUAUACUUGGCUCAUUGCAUGAAGGCGAUUUUCACGACUUUUCAAGAAGUACUUCUCCUCCAAUGUACGCCACAAAGUCAUCUCACACUCCUCAUCUUUCACCAAGUAUUUCACCCCCUUGGUCAAAUAAGAUCUGAUCUGAUCACAGGCUUUUUCAUUCAUACAAUCCCAAAUUUCUUCAUCAUACAAGUGCCUUUUAUUUUUCAGAACAACAUCGAGAUCGAUUUGAAUAAGGACAUCCAUAACUUCGCGCCUCCACAUGCCGAAGUUGAUUUUCCCAUCAAAUUUUUCAACAUCGAUCUUUUGGCCUCCUACAAUAGGUGUUGAAUGGCGAUUUGACAAAUCUCGCCUCCCACCUGAAGUAUCUCCUGAAAUAGGCUCGGUAGAUCUCUCCGCAAUGCUGGAAGUUUCACAUUUUACCAUUUUCUUAACGAACUAUUUCCACUUGAAAAACAGCCUUUAUGAUGUUAAUUUCACGUGAAUAAAUGCACCAGAAAAGUUCCUACGAGAAUGGAGGGGUCACAAUGGUCCCACUUAAAACCGAGACUACUUAGGCUCUUAUCGCCUUGUUGACAGAACUUUUCUAGACAUGCAAAAAUACACACUACUUACAAUAGAUUGUUUCCCAAAUAUAAAUGGCAAUCUCCACCGUAUUCGUGAACAGUAAUGUAUACGGGAAUAGUACCGUAAACGUGAAUAGUAUCGUAUCCCCCCAAGUAUGAACUGUCGGCUCUAAUACCACUUGUUGUGCGUGGAAUCAAGCGCACCAAAUAAUUAUAGAAAAAUAAAGGACACAAUUAUUUAACGUGGUUCGGUAAUUAAACCUACAUCCACGGAGGUAAGAAAGAAUAAUUGUUUAUUUAACAAUUAAUAGAGUAUAAAUAUUUGAGUAACGAAUCUCACUUCCGACAAACCCAAAUUUACCCAGUACUCUCACACUCUGCAGGAAAGAUAAAUUCUCCAGAUACACUUCUCUCACUUCUCUCAAAAGCUUAGAAACUUAUAAGUUUAACAAAUUUUAGGGAUGAUUUCCAAGUGAAGAAUGCAUCUCUAUUUAUAGCCAAAAUGAUUGUACUGUUGCACCAAACCCUUAGUCAAAUUGUCAAUUAAAUCUGCAACUAAAUUCUUCAAAAUUGACAAACACAUGCAUGCGGUGCCAACUUCCUCCAAAUUGUCAAUUAUGCAUGUGGCUUACCUUUUCUUUUUCAACCAAUUUGAAUAAACAACUCACCAAAACUCUUUGACUUUUCAACAAAUACACCUAAUACUCUCACAAAUUCUUGAAGAAAACAAUUUUCCAAGACAAAUUCUCUCAUAUCUCUUAAAUGUAGAUCCCAACUGAGCACCCAAGGAAACACUCUUCCAAACCUUUUAAGAGUUCACUUACAAAUGUUUCUUUUCUCUGUACUCCCUCACAAAAAAACUAAAUUUUUUAAACUCCCUCUAUUUUGGGAUGCUUUCAAAUAAAAAAAAAGUUGCUUCUCUAUUUAUAGCCGAAGCUUACCAUGCAUGCUUUUAUUUCUAUAGCAAAAGUUUUGGCCACCUUUCAACAACUCUCUCGGAUUCUUUAAAUUUAAUGGCGUUGGUGUUAAAGUUAAAAGUUGUAUACGAAAGUACAAAAUUACAUGCUAACCACAUGCAAUUGCAUGCUACAUGCAUGUGCAUGCUCAACGCACUUAGCAUUUAAUUGCAUGAACAAAAUUGUCGAACAAUUUUAGUAUUUCAUCUUCAUGCUUUUACCAUAUAAUUACUUCGCCAAAUUGUCUUUAAUGUUUUCCACAUUCAAGUCAAAUUUUCGACAAUGUACAUAUAUCACUGAAUAUAUAUUUUUUUUUUCCCAAGAGACUUUCCAAACCUAGUUUUUAUGAAUUACGAACGUAUCAUCACAUAUUAUCACAUCCAAUUUCAGCGUUUAUAAUUAAUCUCUACUCUGGUAAGUUUGGGAGGAGUCUUUAAAACAAGGUAGACGAAUCAAGGGAAGAAAUAGAAACAAGUAUAGAUGAAAUAUCUUCAACUUCUUGCGUCGAAAUCAGAAAUUUAGUUUAUCAUAGAAACUUAAAAAUAAAUUCAAUACAACGGAUCCCAACAACUUUAAUUGAUUAUGUAUUUCAAUUAAAUUCUCAUAGAGAGGGAAUUAAAUUCUUUAACUCAUAGGAACAUUUCAAUUAAGUUUACGGGGGCAACAUGGGCUUAAAUAAUGGAUGUGUAAUUUAAGGGUUCUUUUAAUCAACCCCGGGCAGGUGCCCCCGCUUCGCCAAGGCUAGCUCCGAGCGUGACACUGACAGCAGUAUAAUUCUAAAUAACAUAGUAUUUUCAUAUGGUACUUGAUUUUGAGUGGGUACUUAAAGGAGCUUCUAUUUGGUUCGGCUUAUAUACGGACCAUCUUCUUCAAUACAUAUGUAAUUGCAUGUGCUUGGUUUACUCUAAUAAUAUCCUUUGUUACAGAUCGAUGUCCGCACUUUUAAAUUCCCAGAGUGAAUAAACAUUUUGAUUUUUGCAAAGUGAAAAUCAUCUCUCUUGCUUUCUGCAUGCUAUAAGCAUACUGAUAAGAAUAAUUGGAAUAUCAUACUGAAAGUGAUAACCCUGCUCGGCAAGAUAGGAUAUUAUCAUCUUAAAUAUCAGUUUCUUGUUUUAUUAUAGGAAAAAAAAUGAAAGAAUUAAGUAAUUGGUACAGAAAUGUGAAAUAAGAGAGUCAAAAGUAAUAAGAACAGAGCAUUUUCCAAUAAUUAACGCUCAUUCGCCAGAGACUUCUCUUGAUUUUUAUCAUCUCAUACUGUCAUAUCCUAACGAACAAUGAACGCUCAGACUGAAGACUUUUCUUGGCUUCAAUAAUUAAUACAGAUUAUACCCAGUAUAAAUUGGCAUGGAUUGCAGGAUUUUUUAUAUCCUAAAAACUAAUGAUAAUUAAAAUGUCAUUGAAAUUGCUCCUUCUACUUCAAUAUAUGGCUUUGUUUUCUGUGCUAUUAUUUCAAUUGGAGCCCAGAAUUGCUGAAUCUAACAGCAUAAUAAUCAGGUGCAAUGAUGAGGAGAAAGAAGCGCUUCUCACUUUUGAACAGAGCCCGGUGGAUGAAUAUGGCGCUCUGUCUUCAUGGGGAAGAGAAGAUGACAAAAGAAAUUGCUGUAAAUGGAGAGGAGUCUGCUGUAACAACACAACUAGCCAUUUCAAGGUGCUUAAUCUUCGAAGUUCCAACGAUGAAAAUGCUCGAAGAAAGAUCUUGAAAGGUACAAUUAGUUCUGCUCUGCUGCUCUGCUUAAAUUGCAUGAUUUGCGACAUUUGGACCUUAGUAACAAUCAACUUCGGUGGAAUCCCAGUUCCUGAGUUCGUUGGUUCCCUCAGCAAAUUGAGGUACCUCAAUCUCUCUUGUGGUACCCCUUCAAUCCCUCAUCUUCAAGACCUUUCAGGAUUGCACUUCAAUUUGAGUACAUCUAUCGAGAAUCUUAUCUCUGUAACAACAAUCUCCCUUCUUCUUCAGUAUACCUUGGCUUUUUAAUCUUAGUAGGACUAUUCUUCAUCUUAACUUGGCUAUAACCAAUUAAGAGGUUCAAUUCCAGAGACUUUUCAAGACAUGGUUUCUCUCAGAUAUCUGUCUCUCCCUUCUACUGAACUUGAAGGUGGGAUUCCAAAAUUCUUCGGAAACAGCUGUAGCUUGAAUAUAUUACGCUUGCCUUUCAACUAUCUCAAUGGACAGCUCUCGGAAUUGAUUCAAAGUUUUUCCGGUGGAUGCAUGGUGAAUUCACUGGAGUCGUUGUAUUUAGGUGCCAAUGACCUCACCGGGCCAAUACAUGAUUUUGGAGGGUUUUCAUCCCUGAAAGAAUUAAGACUUAGAGAAAAUCGAUUAAAUGGAACAAUAAACAAAAGCCUCAGCCAAUUGUCGAAGCUCGAGUCUCUGUCACUUGGUAGGAAUUCAUUCACAGGUGUCAUCUCUGAAACUUUUUUUAACAAUAUGUUCAACUUGCAGAUACCUACUUGAGCUGAUAACUCUUUGGACUUUGAAAUUGAGCCAUGAUUGGGUUCCUCCUUUUCAUCUGAAAAUAUUAAGUCUUGCCUCUUGCAAGAUGGGACCUCAUUUUCCAAAAUGGCUUCAAGCUCAGAAUGAACUUAUUUCACUUGAUAUUUCGAAUAAUGGAAUCUCGGAUAGUGUCCCUGACUAGUGUUGGGAUUUGUCUAUUGAACUCUCUUUGUUAGAUCUCUCUAACAACCAUAUCAUGGGUAAACUUCCCGAUUUGUCCUUGUUAAGGUCUGAUAAUAUUGUCAUAGAUAUCAGUUCAAACCACUUUGAGGGCCUAAUUCCACCGCUUUCUUAUGUUCAAUCAGUCAAAACACAUGGAACUUUUUUUUAUCUCUCGGAUAAUUUAUUAUCUAGAGAGCUUCCUGAUUGUUGGUUGUACUUUGAUAGCCUAUCCAUUCUUGACUUGGCAAACAAUAGCUUCUCCGGAAAAAUUCUAAACUCGAUGGGUUUCCUACGUAAUAGCCGAGCACUGAGUUUGCACAACACUAGGUUAACUAGGGAAUUGCCUAAAGAAACGAGUAUUUUUCAUUUCUUAAGUAAAACAUUAUACAUUGAUCAUAUUUAUAGAUGCAGAUGUUACAAUUUUUUUCAAAAAUUAGAUACACGUAUUACGGAAGGAUCUCACCAACCGUGUUGUUGACGUUCGGUGCGGAUCGUGUCUUUGACAACUUCUAUUCAAUGCCGUUUUAGUUGACAUUCUCAACAUUGCCUUCAUCUUCAAGGAAUUGCUCACAACUGAGAGCUUUGGAUCUCAAGAAGAAUGCAUUUUUUGGUGAGAUACCAACGUGGAUAGGGGGAAGUCUACAAAAUUUGACUGUUCUUAGCCUAAAAUCUAACAAAUUUCAUGGAAAUAUACCUUAUCAAUUGUGUAAUCUGCGAUUUAUUCAAAUCUUGGAUCUUUCUUCAAACAUUUUAUCGAGAAAGAUACCAAAGUGUUUCUAUAAUUUUUCAGCCAUAACCCAAGAAAGAAGUUCCAAUCCUACCAUCGGGUUCGGGCAAUACGUGGUCGUUCACCUUGGAAUUGCAUAUGAAUUCAGCUAUUUGGACACUUUACAGUGGACUUGGAAAGGAAGUGAGAACGAGUACGAAAAUACUUUGGGACUUGUAAAGUGCCUUGACCUUUCGAAUAACAAAUUAUGCGGAGCAAUUCCUGAAGAGAUUAUGGAUGUUUUGGGGUUGAUUGCCUCAAACCUUUCGAGAAACAAUUUAAUUGGAGCAAUCCCUCCAAAGAUUGGUCAGUUAAAAUCAUUGGAUUUCCUGGAUUUAUCUAGAAACCGGUUUUCUGGAAGCAUUUCGUCUGGCCUUACUCAGUUAAGUCGUCUUGGUGUCUUAGACUUGUCGGACAACAGCUCGUCAGGAAAAAUCUCAUUAGGCACUCAGAUCCAGAGCUUCAAUCCUUCAGUGUAUGCUGGAAAUCUUGAACUUUGUGGCCUUCCACUUCAAAAUAAGUGCCCGGAUGAAGAAUCAGCUCCAUGUCCAGGCAUCGAAGAUGAUGCAAACACUCCAGAAGAUGAGGAUGAUCAGUUUAUAACUCUCGGAUUUUACAUGAGCUUGAUUCUUGGUUUCUGUGUUGGAUUCUGGGAGUCUGUGGAACUUUAAUGCUGAAUCAACUUCUGGAAUGGUAUGAAAGAUUCGCUCUAUGUGACAGCAGCUGUGAAUAUUGCAACACUGCAAAGAAAGUUCAGGAGCUAAUUAAACGGUAAUACUCCUUAAUUUCAAUUGUGUUUCAGUCAUCAUAAUCGGCUCACAUGCUUUUAAUUUCUUCAUCCUUAAAUUUUGGUCUUUCCUCUUGCAAGCUUUUGUUCCUCUAAUCACUUGUUCAUAAUUUUUUUUUCCAAUUAAUCACCAUCUUUUUAGCAGGGUCUCUCUGGGAGGACGGCUCGCAUUAUGUCGUUUCUUGAAACACCUCCAUGACACAGGAAAAGGAGAUUCCCAUUAUAAACAUGCUCUUAAAGAGUUAAAGAGACAAGUACAUGAGGAUAUGGCAAUUGUAUGGUUCCCUUGGGCAUCCCAACCAACCAAAAAUGGGAUUUUGGCAGAAUUAGGCAGUAGACUCCACCACCAUCCUGCUUUAUUUUCAAAAUAUCCCAGGUGGAUUAUCUAUAUUCUAAUUCUUCGCACCCUCCAUUCUCCAUACUCUUCUUCUAUAUAUUAUCUCAUCGUUACUCUCUAUUUUGGUAAGUUUGGUAGGAAUCUUUAAUACAAGAAUCAAGGGAAGAAAUAGAAGUGGAAUAUAUAGUCGGUGACAGCACUUCAAUUAAGUUCAUGGGGGCGUAAACUUAAAUAAUGGAUGCAAUUUUAAGAGCUUUUCUCUAAUCAACUGUCGCAACUGCCCCCAGUUGCACAAGACUAACUCCAUGUGUGACACUGACAGCACACAGCAGUGGUGAAUAAUAUUGCCAAAUUGCAACAAAGCUUGGGGAGCUAAAUUGAUAAUGCUUAUAGUUUACCAGACAUGUACCUCACUUCAUUUUUGUCUAAUUGAUUAUUUCCAAGGAUGGAGCUAGCAUUAGGCAAGUGGGGGCAGUUGCCUUCACUUGAUUAAGACAGCCUGUAAAUUACAUUCAUUAUUUAAAUCUCUAUCACUAUGAACUAACUUGAAAUAACUGAAUGAGUUGAAGUUACAAUCCCUUAAAUUUAAUACAUUAUUAAAUUGUCCCUAUAAACUAAACUUCUGGUUCGUCCUUUACUAUCUCAUCAGCCCAAUAAAAGUGAAUAACUUUAUAAGCAGCAUGCAACAACCCCAAACUGAGUCUAAGAAUGAAGUUUAUUUUAUUUCUCUAAAAAUUCUAUAAAAAACUUCUAUUUUUUAACAACCAUUUAAAAAGACUAUUAAGAAAUUUCUUUUUCCAAAGGCAUAUUGACCUGAGCAAAGACUUGUUGAGGACAAGGUUUAGCUACUUCUGUGCAGAAUAUAAACCAUGAAAGGCAAGACUUGACAAUAUAUCGUCAAUACUAAUGAUAACUAAAAUAUCAUUUUCAGAGACCUUGUUAAUUUACACUAUAAUGUAACUUAACACCACUUCUUGUUAAUUUACAUUAUAAUGAAACUUAACACCACUUCAUUUUCUUGAGACGACUAUUGAUUCGACUGAAGACUCUGUUGUUGACUCAAGACUAUUGACUUGAAUGAAUUGUUGAUCUUUCUUGUGCAUGCAUUACCACCUUAGUAAUUCAAUUUCAACCCUCUGACUGUUUUGCAAACUGAUCAUGACAAAAGGGUCCUCUGAAUUGAUAAGUUACUAAUUAAGUAUUUCUAUAUUAGUUAAUUGUAUUGAAAAUAAGGGAGAAACUUAUCCUUCUCUGCAAUAUACACUUGCAGCCACACCAAUCACUUCUUAAAGUCGCAUAAGAAAAAUAAUGUGUUAAUCCAGGACAACAGCCUCAUCCAAUUUGAAUAUGGCAUCAUCAUAUCUUAAAUAGAUAAUGUUAUGAUUUUUAUACCACAGAAUAUAUGCCUUUUUAACUGAAUACAUCAACAAAAGUAUGCUGGUAAAUAUAUUUAUCAAGAAGACGAUUACUGGCCAUUUCAUUAAAGACUUAAAAGGCAUGUAAGUUGUUGAAGGAUCAGAAUUGUAUCUAAUCUCUCUAUUCACAUACUUCAACAGAAACCAUCUUUCUUCUAUCAUCUCUCAUCUCUCAUCUUUUCACCUUUUCCAUUCUUCUAAAAUUAUCUCUUCUGUAUUUUCUGAUUUAAGGGGUUGCUGGAAUUAUGAAUCUAGUUUGUACUCUUAUAGGUAUUGGAAAUAAUCAAAAGCCACAGAGCAAGCAGAAAGUCAAUGAAGCCUUUGGAUUGGAUUGCUAUUGCAUAUUAAGCUCCUGUUGCAGCAUCUACUGCUAUUUUUUUAAAUCUACUCAAUUGGUCAACAAAAUUUUUCGGAUGCUUCUAAAAAUAUUUAUACGUAUAAUACCUUUUACUUAAGAUUGUCCUCCAAGCUGAGAACCAAGAAACAGUUAAACAAAAAGGUUUUCUUUCUGCAUUAGUAUUUAUAAACUCAAAACUUGACACACUAGACUAAAUCUCUAUCUAACUUUCACACAAACGGCAAAAGAGGAGUCCACGCAAUUGUGUCACAAAAUCCAUAAGCAUGUCAUCACAAAAACAUGUAGAGAAUUUAGAUUAUUAAUUUUCAACAAAGAGCAUCUGAAUUUUUUCAGCAUCAAGAUCAGAACCAAACUAGAUAACAGAUAUACAAUAAGGCAAGUGGUGAAGAAAAAGACACUCGGAAAAGGCAGAUUUAAGUUCGAUGACCUCUAGAUGCUUAACCCAAAAAUAGCAGAUAUUGCAGGUUUAUAUAAUAAGAAAGAUGACACAGAAAAAGCAUGGACAAACUCACAGCUCUGUUGAAAGCAGAAACUCCAGCAUUGGCUUGCAGCCACACUCAGUCUAGUCCUGAAAUCAGACUGAAUUUGGGUAGGCGUAAAACAGGACAGCAGCCUCAUCCAAUUAUGUUCACCUACAAACAUUCAAAGUCAUACAAGUUUCUUUCUAUAAAUGAGAAAAAUACAGUAAUUUUGAGAAACAUAAAGAUAAUUCAAACUUAAAAAUAGCAUAAGAACAAAAAAAAAUUCAAUUUCAUUGGAUGUAUAGAAUUAAUUUGCCACAGAGCUUCCAGUAUAGAGCAGUAUUCUUCAAUAUCUUAUCUUAGGCCAUGCAAAAGAGACAUAACAUGUUAAUGCUAGUUGUACAAAAAGCAAGUUGUUCUUAUAAAUAUGAUAUGUGAAUAAUGUGCUACUAACACCUAGAAUAUUUUCAUAUUUUAUAACAUAAAAACAAGUACAUCAAUGUAAUUCUGAGUUCUUUACAGUCAUAACCUCAAUUCUUUGGGGAUCAUCUCUGAUACUCUGCAUCUUAAGUUACCAUUUUCUGUACCAAUUUACAAUUACACAACAAAGAUUAUCAGUCACUCCUUAUACCACCAAGGUAGAUACAAAUAAAGCAAUGAAAUAACUUUUACAACAACCUUCUCAGAUUCGAGUUUGUACCCACUAAUCCUUUAAACUAUGGUCUUUCUUUUUCUUGAUUACUCUACUUAUAUCACAAUCAUCCUGUCCAAGAAUUGUUAUAGCUAGUGACCAAAACCUAACUUCGGGCUGGCUUUACUCCAUUUAGAUUUUUAACUCCCAGGUCAUUAACUGACAACACUAAUUUUGAUGAAUCACAAGGAAGCCAUUUGGACUUCAUGCUCUUUGCUCUCAAAGAAACCAAGGUCCCGAUUCUCAAAUUCCAAAAAGUUAAGCACACCAGAAAACCAGAUUAUGUUUGCAUUGUCUCAUAGAUGUCAGUAAAACCCAAAUUCUAAAGAACUACAAACGAAUUUGAUUCGGUUCUGAAUUAAUUCAAAAAUGAAUCAAUACAAUACAGUAGUAAAAUAUUUCAUUUAUGAAUGAAACUUCAGGAUUUUCAUGAUGUUUAAAAAUAAUAGUACAAUAGGAUCCAACCAACAUAAACCAGUGGCCAACCUGUUAUGAAUCUCUCACAAAACCCUGGAGCCCUUACAACUAUUUCAAGAUGUUUUCUCCAUCAGUUUUAUUGGGGUGUCAGAAUAGUUGACUUGCUUGGCUCUGCCAUACACCCAUCCAUGACCUUCUCCUGCACUAUAAAACGGGCCUCUCCAAAUGGAACGUGAUGUCCAGCUCACACUACAUAUUAAGUAAUUUAACAAGAAACUGAAUCAACUAUCUUAAAAUUGCAAAACAGUACGGACCCGAAACAAAAUCAACUAGCUCUGUAUUUUCAAGAUGCGCCUGAAAUUUAUUCAUCUAUACCAUGAGAGAUUUUACCAUAAUUCCAAAUCCACACUCCACGGUUUCAACUAACAAGUAUGUGACCUCCAAAAUAGGAAGCUCAUUCUGCAACAAGAAAGAAAUAAUCAAACAUAGAAAAUGAUUUGUCGGUGAAUGUUGGUGACUGUUCAAGACAUACAAGAUCAACAUUAAGAAGGUGUUCUACUUUUCAGUCAAUUUUGCAUCUACCAAUAAAAGCUCCAUUGAUACUUUAUAUGAUCCAAUUGUUUCUUCGAAACAUGAAAAUCUUCAAGUAUGUUUAUAAUUCGUGUGCUUAUACUUAAAUUCCAGAAGCACUCACUUUAAUUUGCAAACAAUUGUUUACAAACCAUCCCCUUACUUAUAUUUGACAAUUACUGAUCUCAUUCUUUCCAAACCAAUCAUUUACUAUUAACCACUGUUGAUAAUCAACCCCAAAAUCCCAGGGAACAAAUUGAAACCCAAAAACAUACCAAGGCAAAAACGAUAUCAUUGCAACACAUACACAUACAAGAAGCAUAUAAAUAUACAGUGUGUGUGAGUAAGUACAAAAUAAAAGGAGACCCAGCAAAUAAAGACUAAAUCUUCACAAACCCAUUAAGCAAAAUCACCAAAAAGCACUUAUUGUCAAUGUCAGCCUUACAUGUCACACCACAGCAAGAUUUACAACAAGAUUUUGAUACCUGGCAUAGACUAAGAUCUCUGAGGCGCAGCUUGGCAACGAGGAAGCACGGUCACUACAGACAUUGUGUACCCAAAAGCAUAUAAUUUUAUCAUCUUGAUUUCGAUUUCAAGCAUCACAAAAUGAAACGCACUUCGCUUGUAAAUCUAUCUAGCGAAUUUCUUGUUUCCAAUUUUAAAAUAAAUUAUAAAUAAAACGGAUUUAUAAAAGCUUAAAAAAAUUUUAAAAAAAAAACAACAAUAAAUUUAAUAAUAUCAAUUACUUACACCGCACGUGCGCGUCAAACAACACGUGGAAAUUCAAAAUGCAACUUCAACGGCUAACAAACAACACGCUGUGCCUGUGGCUUUGGCGCCCAAACCCUAACCCUAACAAGCAGCACCGCCAUAGUAUCGGGCAGCUGGCGCCUGAAUUUUGCGCGUCAAAAUUAUAACUUACUGUGCACGCAACAAAAUACCCACAUUCCUGACCCCAAAUUCAAAGCAGAUAUCAAACUAAAAAUCUUCUUAUUAAGAUUUCUGACUCAGUCUCGAUUCAGUCUAAAAAUCUUCUUAUUAAGAUUUCCGAUUCAGUCUCGAUUCAGUCUAAAAAACACCAACACAAUGCCUCCUCACGUUGGAUUAAGAUUUUAUCCAACGGAACAGGAACUGCUGGAGUUCUAUCUCCUCCACAAAAUUUCUGAAAACCCUAAUCUCUAUCAAGCCGGCGAUGAUAUUCCAGUGAAAGAUUGCGAUCUUUAUGGCCCUCAUGAGCCGAACUUGAUUUGGGAUUUGUAUGGAGGAGACCAAUUAAUGGCGGGUCAAGCACUCUACUUUUUCACUCAGUUAAAGAAGGCGUCUCCUAAGGGUUCGAGAUUCAACAGAAAGAUUGGCUUCGGUGCGUGGCAGGGUGAGGACGGAGCCAAGCCUGUUCUCGCUGUUGGCUCCGAUGAUCAAAUUUUAGGGUUCAAGAAAAGGUUUAGGUAUGAAAGUCGUAAAAAUCCGGAACAGAAUGGGAGGUGGAUUAUGCAUGAAUUCACCGUUAAUCCAGCCUUGUUGGGUAAUCAAUAUUCGCAUAAAGCGCUCGAUUUUGUUCUCUGCCGCGUCAAAAAGAACGAAUCAGAAAACCAUUCGGAGAAAGCCAAUUUGGGCGGGAAGCCGAGGAAGUCGAAACAAGUCGGCGAGACGAAUGACUGUAGAAGGAGAUCUUCUGGUUCUAAGAGAAAGCCGAAAGAAGUAGUGGCCUCCAGCAGCCACAUUGAUCUCGAUGAUGAGUGCUUUCAGAGCAAGCGCCUAAAGGCUGAACAAAAUUCAGUUUUGAUAGAACAAAGCCACUCAUCAUGCUCGACUAACAGUCUGAACACAGUGGACCACCAAGGGGAGAUCAUACAUUCAGUGCCUGAAUAUCCAACUCUUUUUGACGUUGAAGGAUAUAUGGCCAGUCUUGUCCAAAUCCUGGAAAAGGAUCAGCAUGAUGAGGGCAGUCAAAAUGGUCAACAGGGGGCUGAAGCAGAGGCAGUUUGUAUUCAACAUAACCAAGCAAAUGACAUCCCAUGCUCCAGUAACAACAAUGUGCAGACUGUGGAAUUUUGAAGGGGAGAUGGAGCACUCAUUGUCUGAAGUUUAUGACAUAUUUGAUGUGGAAAGGUAUUCUUCCAGUCUGGAUCAGAUUUUAGAGAGUGAGAGGACUGAGGAUCAUGGUGAUGCGGCAAUCCAGAACAAGCAGCAAGAGGCUGUUGAAGAAGAGGCGCUUUUGGCUCAACAAAACGAUCCAAUUGAAUUGUUGUGCCUUGAUAACAUCUUGGAAAUUGUGGAAUCCGAAGUGGAGAUUGAUUCUUUACCUGACAGACUUGUUUUUGAUGUGCGAGAGUUUUUGUCUGAACUCGAUCAAAUUGCCGAACCUAGGAUGAAGAAUGUGGGAAACUGCAAGCUGUGGCAUGGGAAGAAGAGAUGGGGCCGCUGCCUGUAGAGUUUCUAUCGAGGGUCAAUCAAGUGCUUAAUCGAGUAAUGUAAUUGCAAGCAACGCACCAGAAAGGAGCGGGAAAUUCUGAUCGCACUCUUGCUCUCUGCUUUGUUUUGUGAUUUUAUGAAAGCAAUACUUAGAUUGCUAGUGUAUGUUAUGUAAACAGUUUGUUUCGUUUUCAAUUGUAAUAUAAUCACGUUGUCUUCCAUUUUGUAAAUGAAGUUAUGGCUCUAAAAGAGCUGUUUUUAUAUAUGAUCUUUACAAGAAUUGUUUAAUAAAGUGAUAUUCCCUAAGUUGUUGCGCUUUGUAUGUAUAUCUAAUAGAUUAAGUUGAAAAGCAGGGGAACAUGAAAGUACAAUGAAGUUACAUGUUCUAAUUUUUUUUUUUUAAUUGAUAUUCAACAGGAGUCUUAGUUAUGCUAAAACAUGCAAGGAAUUAACAACUAUGAUACAAAAUACGAUUGAAUUUGUAUCAUUAUACAAAAUAUAAGCAACUUGCUUCAUUACACUGACUUACUAAACCAAAGUGCUAGUUAGCUUGAAAAGUGGAUUACAGCCUUAAAAAUAAUCUUUAAAACUUGUUGUCGAAUACAAAACCAACACCAAAAAGUAAAAAUAACUGAAAAGAUGCAUUAACAUUGUACGUAAAGUAAUCAUAAAACUGAAACAAUCUAACAUAGUGGCUCCCGAUGUCAUGAAAAUUGGAGCAGGUAUUGAAUAAAGAUAAUCCCUUUUGCAAGAUCUGAAAGCUGAAUGUUCAAGAUAGAAUGCCAACUAUUACAAAUACAGACCUUACUGAUUGACAAAUGCAUUGUUCCAAGAAUAAAAGUUAGCUUGCCUCGUGAUAUACAAGUGACAACAAGUUUUAAUCUCAGUAUAAUUUGAAGGGCUGUUCAAGUAUCAACAAUACCAGCAUAUACAACCAUAGGCACUGAUACUAUGGAUGAUACUAUGCUGCUUGAUAGUUGUUUACUAUCAGUUACAGCAUAUAUAACCUUAGAUACUGGAGACUGUCCUAUUGGAUGAUAAUUGUCCAUUUGAUUGAGAUUCAGUAGGAGAAACAAGAUUUUUAGAAUCAAGUGAUGGAUGAUUCAUUGAUAGCAAUGUGUCAUAUUCAUAGAGAGAUCUUAUACCAUAUUUACAGCCGGUAAAGUUCAAUCUAAGGCUAAGCAUUGCUGUAGCUAGAAACAAAGAUUCUAAUGUUUGUUAUGUACUAGUGUUUUAUUCUACUGUCAAUAUCAACCCUUGAUAUUCCCUGAUUCUAGAAACUUCAAGAGCUUUCAUUCCCAUGCCUGGUUGAUGUCUUUAUUGCUUCAGAAUUCAAAUAUAAGCUUUCCCGCCAAGUAUUUCUUCGUUGGGACAUUUUAUCGAAUAGUUUGAUACUUACAUCAAACACCUUUAUUUUAACUAACAAGGAGCCAUCGACAAAAGUCAGGGGUAAAACUUUGGUUGGGUAACAGUUUUAUCAGUCAAGCGAAUUAAUGCAGACAUUUUAUUUAUCUUUAUUCAUGUAGAUAAAUACAAAGCUGCUUUAAUAAAUAUAUGCAUCAUUCAACCAGUAUUGAUUGAAGUUGAUGCCCUUGAGAGUAUAUUAACUGACUUAUUUUAGUUCUAUGCCUGAGUAAAAACUCAUUGCUCAAUGUUUAUAUCCAAACACAAUCAGACAACUCGACAUAGUAGAUGGUCAAAAUGUUCGAAAGUACUUGAAUGACUACCAUGUGAUAUUUGGAUUCAGUACUUGAUCUAUUGCUUGUGUUAAAAUGAAACAAACAGCAUCAUAACAUUGACUAGCUAGAUAAAAUUGUGUCAUUUCUGGUGUUAAUUAUUGAUAAUAGCAAUAAUAUUGAUUAAUUAUUGUGAAAAUAACUGAGGAGAAAAAUGUGCUGAGGCAGCAUAAGAUAUUUAUGAAUGUGUUUUGAGUAAAUAUAUACAUAACUGCAGCUAGGUGCCAAAGGGAUAGGACAAGCUAUUAGUGCUAUUAUCUUAGUGGAAGCUGGGAAACCAUUGCUAUGUCCAGCACACUCUGCGUAAUGUGGCUUCUCAUUGACUGAGUCUAUCUCAGAAUCUAUAUACGUUUUGGCAAGAUGAUGAGUUGUUACCAUGGUAAAUUAAUGCAUAUGGGUUUAGGUAUAUAAAAGUGGCUACUCACUCACACAUUGCUUGCGUGCUGCAACUAAUAUUAAGCUUUUAACAGAGGGGUCGGGUCCCUUCCCUAGUCCUGGGAUUCUUGGAGAAACUAUAGUGAAUAUGACAGAGUGAAAGAUGAAAUGUCUACUGAGAGCUCAAGCUCUUGAAGAAAAUUGCAUUUGGAAAAGGAAAGAGACAGAGUCAGAUAGAGACCAACGUUCAACCUCUUUUCUCACAGCUAAAGUUGAUCAUUUCUCAAAGAUAAGUUGUAGGAACCUGAGCUUUCCAAAACUAUGGAAUGUCUACCAAUUGCAUGUAUAAACCCCAGCACAAGAGGUGAAUAGCAGGAACACCCAUUAUUAAUAAUUUAAAGUUUAAAAGUAAAAUAAUGUUUAUAACAUGAUUACUACAAUUACACUUGUAAUGUACAAACAUGAAGCAAAUGACAUAUCAUAAGCAAGGACAUCAGUGUCGGUAGCAUAUGCCUUACUUCCUGAAGAAUUUCAUACUUGUCUUUUCAUUUCUAAAAUUACACACGCAAAUGCAAGAAAAUCAAUGGCUAAAGGUGAAGUUGUAACAAGAGAAAAGUUCAAAUGCAUAAAAUCAUCACUAGAGACAGUGCAAAGAGAUAUUCACUACUGCAAUCUCUAGAUCAGCCUAAAAUAUGCUGUGUCGAAGCUCAGAAUAAGGAACUUGUCAUGAAGCUUAAGACAGCUAAAAAUUGCAGGAAGUGGUUACAGUGGCCUCUCAAACCAUCCCUUCUGUUUCAGCAACAAUUUCUAUUUUAUGUUCCUUUCUCAAAGAAUCAUUUACUGUAUUGAAAGUUUCAAUUUCCAUUGACAUUCAUGAGCUAAAUUUUGGGAAGAGAAUAACAGAGAAACUACCGCAGUUUAUAAAUUAUGAAUUAACUGAGAGGAGUGUCUGAAUGAAUGGAUCACUUUCCAGGAUUAUGAGCUGAAAUUUGAUUAGCUAUGUAGUUGAAUGAAUCAUUCAAUCCGGAUGAUGUAGCUUAGCAGAUAGGAUUUUGUCCAAAGAAUUGGAUAAUUGUUUCUGAAUUAGAAUAAUAGACCAAGCAUCAGCACCACGUUGAUCGAGUAACACAGCUUAGCACAGCUCCAUUUAUAAUAACAUAUGAUAAUUACAAAGAAAUUUAAAAAAAAUGUUAUCAAAAUCACAGAAACCAGGCACAAUUAAAUUAACAUCAACGGCAGGCCACAACAAACUACUAAAUGAAUGAUGACAUAAGAAGAAGAAUAUUUUUCAUAAAGAGAAAUGAGAAAAUCCUAAAUAAUAAUGUAGCAUAAAUACUUUAAUUUUCUAGUUAAGUAUAUUAUUCAAUUUUUCUCUUCGAUAUUAAUUUCAAAAUUGUCAGACUUAUUACAAAUUGUUACCAACGAAGUUGAUGUAACUCAAUUAUCUGACAUUAAUUAUGGAUAUGAAUAAUUAAAUUUUGCGUGUUUAAUAAGUGGGUUGUGUUCGAAUCCGUUUAAUCCCGUCAUGACACGAAUCAAGAACAUGAUUAUUAGCUUAAUUUGUAUAAAGUUUUUAGGAAAAAAAGGGUGUCCGUUAAAAACGGGAGAGAGAGAUGAACCGGUCGACCCGUCAUCAUCGCCAGAAACCGGACGGAGCGUCGCGUUUGAAGCACGAAAAUUGCGGCUAAAACCCAUCACCAUACCUUCGAUCUCGCCGGAAUUAGGCCUCGUCACCGCCUGGAUCUUUCUCCUCAGCUCACCCUCAUCAUUUUCAGACGGGUCCCGUCACCUGAAACGGUCGUUUAGCCGCCGGUCGGCCGCCGGAAGUUCACGUUUUUUUAAGCUCGAUUCGUCGUCGCUUCCGAGCGUGAAUCGUCACCGCUGGCGCCAUCGACCUCAACGUGGUCCGCACUAUCAGAUCUGAGUUUCCCGACCACCAUUGACUGAACUACGGGCAUUUCGGUAAUUUCACAUAUUGGUGGAUAAUUUAGUAAUUUCAGACUAAGGGCAGUUAGUUAAUCUAGAUUUUGGGGUAAUUUGGUAAUUUAAGUCUUUUAAGGCAUUUUGAUAAUUUCAUACUCCGAGGGUAAUUUCAUAAAUUCAUAUCUUAGUAGACAAUUUGGUAAUUAGAUUGAGGGCAGUUUAGCAAUUCGCCACUUCAGGGUAAUUUGAUAAUUUAUGUUUCAAGGGUGUUUUGUAAUUUUAAGAGAUAGGAGUGUUUUAGUAAUUUUAGAGAAUUAGAAGAUGUGUAAUAGGAAUAAAUAAUCAUUUCGAGUUUUAUUGCAUAGCAUUAUUGUAUUUCACAUAUACGUGUAGUAAUUAUGUCGUUUCCUUCAAUUAAGAGGACUCUCAAACGAGAAUCAACUCACACACAUGAACAAAAAUCGAGUUUGAAUAUUGUAACUGUGAGUGAAAUAUACAAAAUAUAUUUUCUUUGUAGUUUAUUAUGAUUUUAAAGUAUGGUAAAGUAUGUUUAUGAAAUAAGUUUUUUAAUACCUUUAUUUAAUGAUUUUUCUAUAAUAGAUUUUAUCUACAUAUUGAAUACUUAUUAUUAAAAAUGUUUAUAAUUAUUGAUUUUAUUAUCGAUUUUAAGUAAUUA
rnacentral:lncRNA from 1 species